rnacentral:lncRNA from 1 species
GGAAGAUCACCAAAGUCAUCAAAAAGGAAGAACAGAGACGAUGAUUUCUCUCCUGCCCUUGGUUGUCCUCCAAAGAAAGUUCAAAAGCUAGUUGAGCUUUCAAAACAAAAGAAAACUGAAUCUGCCCCUGUUGAAUUACCUUCAAAUAGGCCAUCACUGUGUCUAGAAGUGAAGAAAGAUGCUAAUGACUUUCCUGUUCCUCCUUGUUUUCCUCCCAAGUCUAAUCAUGUGGUGACAACUGAUUCCACCGAAGAAGAUAGUCUGACCAUAGCAGAACUAAUCAAGUCUAGGAAGAAGCGUGAUGGUUUGUGGGAUGAACAUGUUGGCAAUGCUGAAAAUCUGCCUGAGCAAUCUGAAGCUGAUUCUUCAAUUGCAGAGUGUGAAGUUGUUAAAGUUAUUCCGCCUGAGACAAAAUUGGCGAAAAAGAUUAUGAAGAAUGUACCAGUUAAUUUUGGAUCAGAGAUGGCUGUAGAAGAUUCAACUGAUGGUAAAGUGGGUAGUCCAGCUCGUGAUAUGGCGAGGAUUCAAAAUGGUGAAGGAGAUGGAAACAAGUGUGACUGUGAUAUGAGUGAGUGACGGGGAUUGCAUCUCGAAGAGUGGGUUAGUAGGCUUGAGGCAAUCGUUGCAAAGCUAAAAGCAGAUCAAUUCCAUUAUGAAGGCCAGCCUUAGUAUUAGAGUAAGUCUCUCAUCUUCAUUUUACGUACCUUCAGCAAUUUAUACGUAUUCGGCACUUGCAAUGUUCAGUGGAGCACUGAUGUUUUGUAAGCAGUCACAUAAAAAGCAUGUUUUAUAUCUAAUUGAGUCAUUAUUGUAUUGGGCUCUGGUGUCCAAAUUUUGUAUGUUGGAAUAUUAUAUGGUUAAAAUCUUUGGUUGCUUCAUUAGCUGAUGAUACAUACGUACUUUUGCUUCUUCUGUUGCAUGUUUUGCAUCUUUUAAUUGGGUGUAAAUUUUUUUGAGUGGGGGUGGAUUUCCAUUUCUACAGAAUCUAAAUUGUGAAGCUACCCCGCAAUCAUAUCUUGAAUCUUUGCAUCAUACUAGUAAAUUUCUGCAAUAAUGUUGGAUGGCAAUUGUUUUAAUUUUGAUCUAGGGGCAGAAAACUUUAGUACCAGACUUUAAUGCCAAGUGUUUGAUAGUACCUAUUUAUUCUGUGAGUCUUUUAAUUAGUGUUUGAUAGAACAAAGUAAAAUAAAAUUUUAUAAGAAUCCUAGUUAGAUAUCAUACAUAUUUUGACAGUUUCAAAUGUUUGAAAUUUCUGUGGGUGACUUCAAAUAUUGGAGUCAGCAAAUGAUUCAACACAAGUUCCUUCUCAUUUAUUGGCUGAUCAAAUUACAUGAGACGAAAUUUCAAAAAAAGAAAAGAAAAAAAAGUUGUACGUAGGCCGAAUAAACAAAAGCUUCACAAUGAAAACAUCUACCAACAUUUUCUCACAACCCAGAAAAUUUUGUUGCCAAGUCUAUCAAGGAAAUGAUAAUACAUAUACCUACAUUUUCUACUGACAAAUAAAGGACCCAUCACAAACCAGAAGCCAACUACAAAUCCCAAUGCCAAGCUUACGUAGAACCAAUUCACUUCAUCUUCAUCACCAUCAUCAUUUCCUUCAAUAUCAUCUUCACUUUCAUUGUGUGGUGCUGGAGCAGCCACAAAACAGUUGUUAGGAAGUGGAGAACCACAGAGUCGAUUUCCAGUAAAAGAGGAGGGAUCAAAACUUUGAAGCUGUGUGCUUAAAGGAAUUUUCCCACUCAAGUUGUUAUUAGACAAGUUCAAACGACUCAAAAGCGUCAAACUUGAAAUACUCUGGGGGAUUUCACCAUAAAGUUGAUUUGCAGAGAAAUCAAUAGAAAAUAUUGAUUCCAAAGCACCAAUGCUAUUAGGAAUUCUUCCGGUGAAAGAGUUGCAAGACAAAUCCAAUGACACCAAUGCUCUGAGAUUCAUUAUUUCUGACGGAAUCUCUCCUGAAAACUUAUUUUUGGAGAGGUCGAUAAGUCUUACCAGCUUAAGAAUUGUGUUAUAUUCAUCUGCUUUUCCUUUCAGCACAAGUAAUGCAUCCUCAACAUACUUUCCUGUGGAAACACUUGGAUAUUGUAUAUCAGUGCCUAUUGAAAAAUUCGCAGUCACCAUGGAACUGAUGUUACUGAUACAUUUUGGUAUGCUCCCAGAAAGAUGGUUAUCAGCAAGGUCUAAGACAUGCAAAGAAGCUAGACCACAGAGUUGGUUUGGUAAAACACCACGAAACUUAUUUGAACGAAGGUUGAGGAUCAUUAAGCUUGAAAGCCUUAUUCCAAUCCAUGUUGGAACAUUUCCUACAAACUGAUUUCUACCAAUGUCAAGCAUUACCAGCUUUGUGCAAUUCUGAAAUGACACUGGUAUUUGUCCGGAGAGAGAAUUUUUCCGAAGGUUUAAUGAUUGAAGGGAACUUAACAUUCCCAAAGAGAUUGGAAUGUUACCGGUAAAAUUAUUGUUGGCUAAAUUCAAGACCAACAAAUCUUGCCAAUUCAUCCAACAAUCAGGUAUUUCCCCAGAAAAAUGAUUUUCACCAAGUUUGAGAAUUCGCAUUCCCUUCAAUUGAUUGAUCCCAUCACACAAGAAAUGAGAAAUGGAUCCUGACAAGGAAUUGUUUGAAAGGUCAAGAGCAUACACAUUGAAUGAAACAAGAGGUAAGGGACCGGAUAAGUUGUUGAAACUCAAGUCAAGUGACUCAAGUUGACUCACCUCAGUUAGAUUUGGGAUCUCCCCGUAUAUAUAAUUGUGAGAGAGAUUUAGAUAAUUAAUCUGGGAGAGAUUUUUCCAAACCCAAGUAGGAAUUGUAUCUGCAAUUCCUGUAUUGGAUAUGUCUAGAUAAGUUAAAUGCUUUUGUGAAUGAAGCCAUGAGGGAAAUUGAUUGCCUAAAUCGCAAGAUUUCAAUCCCAACACUUCAAGUUGGAAAGGGGGAAACCAAUCAAGACUGACGUUGAAGGUUAAUGAGUUACCAGAAGCUUUAAAGUCCAACAACCUUGUGAGAUUGGAAAAAUGAAUUUGAGUAAGAGUUCCAUUUAAUCUGUUCAAGGAAAGAUCUACAACUCUCAAUGUUGAAAGUUCACCUAAAGACAAUGGAACAUGCCCAGAAAUGCAAUUGUCACUUAGAUCAAGAGUGUCUAGAUUUCUAAAUUGCCCAAGUUUAUCAGUCAAAGGACCAAAAAUGAGGCAAUUUCGCAAAACCAAUAUCUCAAGCCCAUCAGAAACACAUCCUGAGAAAAUAUCAAAGAUUUCAGACAUCUCUUGACUCAAGUUGACUCCUGACAAAGAUAUUGACUUCAAAUUGCAAAGUCUUCCCAAAGAUCUUGGAAUUUUCCCUUCAAGCCUAUUGUUUGAGAGAUAAAGCCUAUUGAUAGAAGUAAGAUUUCCCAAUGCACCCGAAACCUUACCUUCCAAGCUAUUGGAGUUAAGAGAAACUUGCUCAAGAAGGCUAAACCUAUGGAACCAUUUGGGUACGGAAGAAUUAAAAUGGUUGUUGGACAAAUAAAGGUGUCUAAGGGAAGUCAAGUUCUGAACUCCAUCAGGAGUUGGACCGCCGAAACUGUUAUUUCUAAGAUCAAGAGAGACUAGAUUAUGAAGACCGAAAAUCCAAUUGGGUUCUAAAGAGCUUUGAAAUUGGUUAUUGGAGAGAUCAAGUGUGGCAAGAGAUGAAAAAUUUGCUACGGACAGAGGAGGAAAGUAAGAGAGACGACAACCUGAGAGCCGUAGCAACACUAAGGAAGGGAGUCUGUUCAUAACAAGCAACCAGUCAGAAGCUCUGCUGAGGUCUACAUUGCUUAAGUCAAGGUGCUCCAAUGAGGAAAGACCGGAUAGCCACCUUAAAUUCUCAGCGUAUAAACCCAAGUAUUUCUGACUGAGGUCAAGAUACUGCAGAUUAGAGAGAUUUGCAAGUUGGUGAGGAAUCAUUCCCAAAAAUCCGGCAGUUGAAAGAUCAAGGUAGCUUAAAUUCACCAUGGAACCAAGAAAUGGAGGAAUCUGAAUUCCUCCGAAGUCAUUAAAGCUUAAGUCCAAGUAAACUAAAUGCUUUAAAUUAAGCAAAGAUGGACUUAUCUUACCACCCAACAUUGACAUCUGGGAAGGAUUAUUUCUGAGUUGAAGCAUACGGACGUGGCCUGUGAAGUUGUCACAGACAACACCAGCCCAUGAGCAGCAAUCUUCUUCAUCACCAAUCCAACUGGCAAGCCGGUUCGAAGGAUCUAUGAGAUCUUGCUUGAACCUUAAAAGUGCCUCUCUCUCACUCCCCAUGCAAGCCACAUAAGAGCUUCCAUUGCAGAAGCUAAUAUUGAUGGUUGCUAUGGCAAGUAAUAACUUGAGAAAAAGCAGGGCAACAACUUCACUCAUGGUUGAAUGGUUUAAUUUCAUAAUAAUAAGAAAAUCGGUCGGGGGUGCAUCUACUUUGGUUACCAUACAAUAGGCUGUUUAUAAUGACCACGAUUUCCACGUAUAAGUUGCAGGAAGUUUCUGCGUGUAAUUGCAGGAAAUUAUACAGUAUGUUCAAAGAAUUUUAAUUGUAAUGGGUCCAGAAGUAAAGGAAUAGACUUUUAAGUCUAUUCGAGAAUUUAUUUUUUCGGUAAACCCUCAACGUCUCUUCGGAUUCGGAAGUUCUGAAAUUUCGUAUAUCAUUUAAUAAUUGUUAAAAACGAAAAAAAAAUGUAAAGAAUGCUAGUUAAGUUUUUGAUUAGCGAGCUGGAGGUCCAAGAGCUCCAUGGACAACAAGAACAUUGACAUUGAACAUCAAUCAGUUGAUGUUAUUACAUGGGGUUAACAGGCCGGGUGGUUCUUAUCAAAUAGUUUCUUUAAGUUCUAUUAAUUCCACAUGAUAUUGUUCCCUAGUUAUGUAAUUAUCAACUAUUACUAAUCGUUCAAUCUAAGUGUGGAAUUUUUCUUUUUUUCCCGUACAUUGAUAUUUGACAGUAAAAAUUCUACUAAUAUUAUCAGAUCUCUACUGAAACUAACUUAAAUCAUAAAUAUUAUGAUAUAACCCAGAGUUCUUCCUUCUCUAUCGGGAGGAUUGCCUUUCUCUACCAUUUAGGGAGGGGAGUUGAGUCCGAUGCUUCCUGGGACUUGGAGUCAAUACUAACAAGAAACUAUAUAUUUAUUUAUUUCUUUUUCGUGCAGGUCCCGCACUUUUUAUCGUAUUAGUUGAAGUUUUUGCUUUUGAGUGUGUAUUUUUAUUGACUCAAGUCAAGUCAAGGCUUAAUUAAUGUAUAGCAAUUAUUGAAUUGUAUACUUUUAGAGUAAUUUCUACAUAUGCAGUCCAGAAAGACUAAAUGGAAAAAAGCCAACCCGGAAACUCUUCGUGAAGAUCAAAGAAACCACAAGGAAAGUCAUUACUCAUGACUUGUACAGAGAAAAUAAAUUAAUUAAUAGUUUCUUAUCAAUCAGAUGCAUGUAACGUGGACUGAUAUUAUGGCUAAGCCAUUUAGUCCCCAGCGACAAAAUUUAUGGCUUGUGGCUUGUUAUCAUCUCCUUUAUCAUAAAGGUAAAUCGUUUUUUGGGGCCAAUAUGCUUAUAACUAAAUCGUCCCGAGGAUAUGAAUAAUGGUGAUUGGAAUUAGAUGAAGAGUUUGAAAAGAAUUUCAUCCUCCCAAAUCAAGAAGAUUAUGAGCUAAAAUUAAGACAAUUAAGACAUAGUCAUUUUUCUACUUAAUUCUCUAUUGAUUGCAGCUGAGUUCUGUAAUUUGGCCCCCUUCCUGACUACUAAUUUUCUCAUUUUUCCUAUCUUUGGAGGGUCUAAUUCUGAACCCGUAGUAGACGCGCUUGCGCUAUUUAUAUAUCCAAAUGAUUCGUGAUCACAACACCCCCCCCCCCCCCCCCCCCCCCGGGGGAAAAGAAAAUUAUUGAUCUAUUUUUAGUUAAUUUUAUGUUUUAUUCUCCAUUUUUUUCUUUUUUAAUAUGCCGACUCCUUUGAACUUCUCCAAAUUCAAUUAUGCUAACUAAUCGGCAUUGUUUAUUACCGGUGAAACAAGAUGCAUAAGAGCUAUGCAGUUCAGCAUCUGAAAUUUUUUUCAUUCUGCUAAUUAAGUUGUUAUUGGAUAAAAGCCAUGUAGAUAAGAGAGAAUUGAAUUGCUAUAAGGAUAUUAAUAUAAAAAAAUUGAGUGUUCUUAUUUGAACCAAAGCUCAAUUACUUUUUAUUAUUAUUCUUUUUUCAAUUUUAUGUUGCCCAUCUCUGAACAUACAAUUGAAGUGCGAAAUUUUUUUUUCCAACAACAAUGAGCAUCUUUUAUUAAGAAAUAGGAACUCUUACAGUCCGAAUAACCACCAUAUAAAUCCCAUUGAAAAGCUGACAUAUAGCCAGCCCAAUUCAUCUCCAACUCCGUAACCAUCUUUUUCUCCUCCUUUUCCGUCUAUAACAGGACACAAUUUUUUAAGUGGAUGUCCACAGAGACGGUUGUUGCCGAUAUAAGAGAAUGAAUCAAAGGUAGCAAAUUGAACUCCGUUUGGAACUUCCCCGCUCAAGUUGUUAUACGAUAUGCUGAAGGCUGCCAAGAACGGCAUCUUUACCAUUGUCUUGGGGAUUUCACCCUCGAGUCGGUUAUAAGAGAAAUCAAGAGAUCCUAGUGACGCCAUAGCACCGAUAUUCUCAGGAAUUCUUCCACUGAAAAAAUUAUGUGACAAAUUCAAUGAUCGCAGUUCUCUAAGAAUAAUUUCUGCAGGAAUCUCCCCUGAAAAUUUAUUGUUGGAAAGGUCUAUAUUUGUCAGAAGUCUAGAUAUACGCUCAAAUCUCAGUGUUGCCCCUUUUAUUGUAAUUAUUUCCUUCUCCACGAGCUGUUCUGUGAUAUUGAAAAACUUUCCUGAAAAACUGAAAUCCGAAGUAUAUUGAAUGGCAUAGGAACCAUCAGAGCCAAGGAAUGUCGCCAUGGGAGUAAAGUUACUGAUACAUCUCGGUAUAGUUCCAGAGAGAUUGUUACCGGCAAGGUCUAAGACUUGCAGAAAAGCCAGAUGGCAAAGCUCUAACGGAAAAACACCAUGAAAUUUAUUUGAACGAAGGAUGAGAAUUAUCACCCUUGGAAAUCUUUCUCCGAUCCAUGCUGGAACAUUUCAGGAAAACUCAUUUUCACCGAUAUCAAUUGUUUCCAACUCAGUACAAUUUCCAAGUGAUACGGGCAAUGUUCCUGACAGGUUGUUGUUGCGAAGGUGCAAUGAUCGGAGGAGGCUCAAAGCUCCCAAAGAGGUUGGAAGUUUCCCCGUAAAUUUAUUAUUAUCUAAUCUCAAAACCAGCAAGUAUCGCCAAUUCGUCCAACAAUCCGGUAUUUCUCCUGCCAAAAGAUUGUCUUCAACGUUGACAAUUUGCGUUAGCCUUGUCCCGUUCGUCUCGUGGCAAACAAAAUGCAAAAUUGAUCCUGACAACUUAUUUUUGGAAAGAUCCAGGACCAUUACAUUUGAGGCUAGAAGAGGCAACUGGCCGGAUAAAUUAUUAGCACUCAAGUCAAGGGUGGUUCCAAAUUGGCAAACCUCAGUUAAAUUUGGGAUCUCCCCAUGGAUUUGAUUAUUUGAGAGGCUCAAAUAAUUGAAUUGGGUGAUCGAUUUCCAAAACCUAUUAGGAAUGGUGUCUACAAUCCCUGAGUCAGAGAUAUCUAAAUUAACUAAAUGAUUUUGUGAAUGAAGCCAAUUUGGAAAUGGAGGUCCUAGAUAACAAGAUCUCAAAUCUAACUCUUCAAGUUGAAAAACAGGAACCCAAUUCGGGUUUGCUUUCAACGCCAAUGGGUUUCCAGAUGCAUAAAAGACAGUUAGACUCGAAAGAUUUGCAAAGUGAAUUUCAGAAAUUGUUCCAUUUAAUGGGUUAUUGGAAAUAUCUAGAUAUCUCAAGGAAGAAAGUUUUCCUAAGGACCAUGGAACUUGACCAGAAAUGGAGUUCUCACUUAAAUCAACACUGUUUAAAACUUUAAAUUUCCCAAUUUGAUUUGUCAAACUACCAGAAAGAGUUGUAUUACUCAGAUCCAAUGACUCCAGUACAUCUGAUACACAUCCUGAGAAAAUAGCUAAGACUUGAGAUACCUUUUGAUCACUCAAUUGGAUACCUGACAAGCUAAUUGACCUCAAGUUACAGAAUCUUGAAAAUGACCUUGGAAUUUUCCAUUCAAGUUCGUUGAAUGAGAGAUCAAGGCUUUGGAUAGAACUCAGGUUUUCUAGAAGUACACUUGAAAUUUUCCCUUGCAAGCGAUUGCUGCUAAGUGACAGGUACUCAAGACGGCUAAAUUUGUUUAGCCAAUCAGGUAGCAAAUCACUGAGAUAGUUGCUAGAUAAAUCAAGAUGUCUAACAGAAGUCCAGUUUUGAAUUGCAUCAGGGAUUGGACCAUGGAAAUUGUUAUCACUGAGAUCAAGGAAAACCAAAUCACGGAGGCCAAAAAGCUGAGUAGCAAUCAAAGAGUUAUCAAAUUGGUUAUGGGAAAGAUCAAGGGUGACAAGAGAUGAAAAAUUAGCAAUGGAUAGCGGAGGAAAGUGAGAGAGUUGACAGCCUGCCAACUUUAACACCAGUAAAGAACGAAGUGCAUUCGUCUCAAGGGGGCCAUUGGAAACUUUGCUAAGGUCUACACCACUCAAGUCAAGAGUUUCCAAUAGAGAAAGAUCGGAUAGCCAACCCAAAUCCUCAACAUACAAUCCACCCAGAUAAUUUGGACGAAGGUUAAGAUAUUGCAGAUUUGAGAGAUUCCCAAUUUGGUUUGGAAUCAUUCCCACAAACCCAGCUCCAGAGAGAUCAAGGAAUCUUAAAUUUCCCAUAGAACCAAGAAAUCUAGGAAUCUGAAUCCCUUUAAAAUCGUUAUAGCUUAAGUUCAAGUAAAUCAAAUGCUCAAAAUCAAGCAGAGCGGGAUUUAUCUUACCAACCAAUUUUGAGCUCUCUUUAGCUUGUUGACCAUGAUCAUCUUCCCAAGGAUUUCCAAGGUGGAGCUCAAGCACAUGGCCUAUGAAGUUGUCGCAGAUAACACCAGGCCAUUUGCAACAAUCCCCAUCGCCAAUCCAGGUGGCAAGCCGGUUUGAAGGAUCUUCGACAUCUUGCUUGAAACUUAAAAGUGCUUCUCUCUCACUUUCAACGCAACCCACAUAGGAGCUUCCAUUGCAGACGCUAAUAUUUAAGGUAGCUAUGACAAAUAACUUUAGGAAAAGAAAGGCAACAACAGCACUCAUGGUUUGUUUAAUUUCAUAUGCUUAACGUACGUAAUGAUCAACAAGAUUGGUAUUUAUUUUCACUAGUCUAAGCAGGGCAAUUUCUUUGCAUUUUACUUAAUUUGCUUAUCAUUCUUUUUCAAGAAUUGACUUCAAUUUUCUGCGUGCAAAGAGCAGGAAAUCUCUUAGAUAACUACUUUUUGUAAAAUAUAUAUAAGACUUUUAAUUGCAAUGGGUCCUACACAAAUAAAGGAGUAGACUCUUGAGUCAAUUUAGAAUUUCAUUUUUUUUUAAUUUGUUAAUCCUCAUCAUCUCUUCUAAAAUUCAUGGAACAUUUCAUAUAUCAUUUAAUAAUUAAAAAACGAAAGGAAAAGAAUGCUAGCUUAAAAGAUUAUGAUUAGCAAGCUGAAAUCCCGAAGAACAUUAACGACCUAUAUGUACGGAGUAGUGCUAUUAACACUCCUUAAUAACAAACUUAUUAUUAAACUCAUCUACCGUUUGUUUUCAUUCUCUUCAAACUCUUCGAAGAUAUGUUAAAUUGUUUGUUUUCUCUUCAAAUUCUUUGAAUACAUCAUCAGGGAGGAAUUCUCGUCAUCAGGGAUGUAUAGUAGAAUUUCUCAUCAUCAGGAAGUCAUUUUCUUUUCUGUUUUCUGUUUGUGACUCUUCAUCUAUAUCUCAUAGUUCAGUUGAAAUAAUUACUGUUUCUUCCAUUUUCUUUACAAAUUCAUUACGACCAUGUUUCUUUUUCUUUUAAUCAAUUAUUCUCAUAUUUAUAGAAUACUUUUAAACUAAAAUAUAAAUAUGCUUAUUUAAAUCAACAAUAAACAAAAUUGAAAGAGAAAAUUAACUUCAAUUUGUUUUAUGAUUGAGAAAAUUCACAAAGUUAAAAAAAGAAAAGAAAAGGGUACCUUUGGAAUUGAAACAAGAAUAAAAAGGGUUUUUUCAUAAUUUUAAAAGAGUGAUAGAAGCUCAACUCAUAUGUACGGUGAGAUUGGACUGAUUAAGUGCUUAUAAGCUCACAUGUCAAGCCUUCAUUUAAUGAAAUGGGAAGCAAUUAGAGUCAUUAUAUUUUCAAUCAGGGAAGAAAUUUAGGGACUAAUUCAGAUCAAUAAUUGGUUGAGAUAUUGCAAUAUGUAUUGAAGGCGAUCUUAUUACAUAUGGUUCAUCCAUGGGGCUGUUCUUAUCAAAUCUUUUAUUAUUCUGGAGUUGGAGCUAUGGAACGGAAGUUCUAGAUAACAAGAUCUCAAAUCUCUCUCCUCAAGUUGGAGUGUUAUUCCUUGGUGGUUGUUCAAUUUCUCCUUCGAUUAAUUUUAAUCCCCAUGGGGUUCUACAAAAUAGAUAGUUCAAUUGUAAAUAAAAUCUCGAUGCAUGGUUUUUAGGUGUUCUCAUAAUGAGAUGUUAAUUAGUUACUAUAAUUUCCCGCAGCCUGCAAGCUGAAAAUGAGAUGUUAAUUAGUUAUGGGAACUAAUAAACAUCUCAUUAGCGAAGGGGCUCUUAGUCCAUUGGCAACAGUCCAUGCACUCGAGUGCCUGGGUUCCAAUCUCAGUUUUGUUGGGACUAGAUUAUCUCCUAGAGUAGAGUUGAUAUUCCUCCACUUGAGAGUCGGGAUUUCUCCAGUAUUAAGGGAGAAAAGAAUAGUCGGUCUGUGUAUCAGUAGGCUUCUGAUUAUAAUAUCAGUGUAUCCAAAAAAAAUUUAACAUCUCAUUUUCAGGCUGCAGGAAAUUUUUUUCCCGAUGACUUAAUUCGUUUUCUAUCCUUGUUCGUGACAACAAUAAAUACAUCAAUAAUUGUAGUCUUUCGUUUUCCUGAUUUUCUAUUCCAAGUUGAACCCCCGGUUUCAACUUAAUGGUAACUAAGAUUGAACACCCUGUUUCUUUUUUCUUUUUCUUUUUUUUAAAGAGCCAUUUUUGCGUAAAAUAUGAAAUUCUAGAAAUGAUAUCCAAAGCUUUUGUAAUUUCCUAUACCUAGAAAUGGAACCAAAAGCAACUCAUCUUUGACAUCUUGAGACAAAGUAAGAUCAAGGAAAUUUCCUCGAGAAAUUUGUGUGACCCAAGUCUUUUCUGGUGGCUUGACAAAAUCAACAUGAAAAAUUCUAGACGGCAUUGAUUUAAGUGAAAACCCCGCCAUUUCUGGUCAAUAACCAAUUGAGUGGAGCAGUUUGUGAAAUUCAUUUCGCAAAACCUUUCAAGUCUAAGUUUGAGAGAAUUGUUAAUUUUUAUUAAUAAAUAAUAGUUAAACUUAAAUUAAUAAUUCAUCAAAUGAAAAUGAUUUUAAUAAUUAAAAAAUUAAAUAUAUAGUCAAUGUGAUAAUUUAUUAUUUUACAUAAAAUAUUUCUAUAACUAGAUUAUUAUCAAUCAUAUAAACAACGUGUCAUACAAAUCUUUAAACAUAUAUGACAUGUCGCCUAAAAGAAGAACUUAUAAAGGAGAGGUCAUGCAAUCUUUACUAGAGUACGAGUUCUACAACGUGUCAUAGUGUCAUCUAUGUGCUAAAGCUAAUAUACACGACGUGCCAUAUAGAGUUCAUAAAUUUAACGAGAUAUAUCUAUUUUAUGAUGAAGUCUAAAAUGACAAGUCAUACAAUUUUCAUUUCAGGGUAUAUAAUGUCUGAUGUGUCAUCUAUGCUUUUUUCCAACCAAAAGAAAAAAGAAAAGGCAAAGCUCAAAUUCAUUGUUUAGUCCCUUACCCUCAACGUCGCUUCUGAUUUAGAAGUUCUGAAAUUUCGUAUAUCAUUUAAUAAUUAUUAAAAAUGAAAAAAAAAUGUAAAGAAUGCUAGUUAAGUUUUUGAUUAGCGAGCUGGAGGUCCAAGAGCUCCAUGGACAACAAGAACAUUGACAUUGAACAUCAAUCAAUUGAUGUUAAUAUAUGGGGUUAACAGGCCGGGUUGCUCUUAUCAAAUCCUUUCUUUAAUUUCUAUUAAUUCCAAAUGAUGUUUUUUUUUAAUUAUGUAAUUAUCAACUAUUACUAAUCUUUCACUCUAAGUGUGGGCCUUUUUUUUCAUACAUUAAUAUGUUACAAUAAAAAAAUCUACUAAUAUUAUCAGAUCUCAACUGAAGUUAAUCUAAAUCAUAAAUAUGAUGAUAAAGCCUAGAGUUCUUCCUUCACUAUCGGGAGGAUUGCCUUUCUCUACCCACAUUAUAGGAGAGAGAAUCUGCCACUACCAUUUACGGAGGGGAGUUGAAUCCGAUGCUUCAUGGGACUUGGAGUCAAUACUAACAAGAAACUAUAUAUUUAUUUAUUUCUUUUUCGUGCAGGUCACGCACUUUUUUUAUCGUAUUAGUUGAAGUUUUUGCUUUUGAGAUUGCAUUUGUAUAGACUCAAGUCAAGUCAAGGCUUAAUUAAUGUGUUUGGGGAAUGAAAUAGGGUGACCAAGAUAAAGGUGUUUGCUCAUACAUUAUCGCGCUCUCCUCCAGAGUAAAAGUGAGCAAAUGGUUGAGCAGAUCACCUCGACCAGGAUGUUAUUGGUCACCUCGAGCAGAUCACCUUGACCAGGAUAUUAUUGGUCACCUCGACCAGAAUAAUAUGUGGUGACCUCGAGCAGAUCACCUCGACCAGGAUAUUAUUGGUCACCUCGACCAGAAUAAUAUGUGGUGACCUCGAGCAGAUCACCUCGACCAGGAUAUUAUUGGUCACCUCGACCAGAAUAAUAUGUGGUGACCUCGAGCACAUCACCUCGACCAGGAUGUUAUUGGUCACCUCGACCAGAAUAAUAUGUGGUGACCUCGAACAGAUCACCUCGACCAGGAUGUUAUUGGUCACCUCGAGCAGAUCACCUUGACCAGGAUAUUGUUGGUCACCUCGACCAGAAUAAUAUGUGGUGACCUCGAGCAGAUCACCUCGACCAGGAUAUUAUUGGUCACCUCGACCAAUAAUAUAUGGUUACCUUGAGCACAUUACCUCAACCAGGAUAUUAUUGGUCACCUCGACCAGGAUAUUAUUGGUCACCUCGACCAGAAUAAUAUGUGGUGACCUCGAGCACAUCACCUCGACCAGGAUGUUAUUGGUCACCUCGACCAGGAAGUUACCAGAAAGCACGAUUCAGUCAAAACAUUUUCUCCGAAAUAUUAGGGACCAUAUUCUUAGUGGAUGAAAACCGCUAUAGUUUCCUAUAAAAACCCUAGGAAGGGGAAGGAAAAGGGGGGAUUCUUCUAGCUCUCUCUCUCUCUAAGCAACUGAACCUAUUGGACCUUUUUCUCUCUCUACCACAGAGAAAUUUCUCUUUCGCCUGUGAUUUCUUUAAGAUUGAUUAUUUUGAAUUCUUUUCCUUUAAAUUUACUUAAAAGCUUUUUGUUUAAAGCAAUCAUAAUUAAGCCACAUGAAUUGUGGUAUGGGUUUUUCCAAGUAAGACCCGAAUCGCUGACUUGAGCGUCGGAGGGUUCUCGCCGGAAAAACUUCCGGCACCUCCUGACUGUUGGUUGUGUUCACAGGCUCACAUGUUAUCUGCUCAUGGAUCGUCUGCUCAUGGGUUAUCUGCUUAUGGAUCGUCUGCUCACGGGUUAUCUGCUCAUGGAUUGCCUGCUCAUGAGUUCUCAGCUUAUGGAUCGUCUGCUCACGGGUUAUCUGCUCAUGGAUUGCCUGCUCAUGGAUUGUCUGCUUAUGGAUCGUCUGCUCAUGGAUCGUCUGCCCAUGGAUUGUCUGCUCAUGGGUUUUCUGCUCAUGGAUUGUCUGCCCAUGGGUUCUCUGCUCAUGGAUCGUCUGCUCAUGGGUUGUUUGCUCACAGAACAUCUGCUCAUAGAAAAUCUGCUCAUGGUGCUAACUAAUCAUCAGCUUCCCACCAAACAAAUUCAAUGAUGAUGCAGGGAUCUGAGAUCUGACCAACUCAUCCGGAUUUCGGCAUCAACAUAAUGUAUAACAAUUAUUGACUUGUAUACUUUUCUCCAGAGUAAUUUCUACGCAGGCAGUCAAGAAAAACUAAAUGGAAAAAAGACAACCGGGAAACUCUACACGACGAUCAAAGAAACCACAAGGAAAGUCAUGACUCAUGCAUAGAAAAUAAUAAAUUAAUAGUUUCUUAUCAAUCAGAUGCGUAUAAUGUGGGCUGAUAUUAUGGCUAGGCUAUUUAGUCCUCAAUUACAAAAUUUAUGGCUAGUGGCUUGUUAUCGUCUCCUUUAUCAUAAAGGUAAAUCGAUUUUUUUGGGGCUCGGGUCCCAAUACGAUUGUAGCUAACUCGUCUCUGAGGAUAUGAAUAAUGAUGAUUGGAAUUAGAUGAAGAAUUUGAAAAGAAUUUCAUCCUUCCCUAUCAAGAAGAUUAUGAGCUGAAAUUAAGACAAUUAUGACAUACAUAGUGCCAUUUUUCUACUUAAUUCACUAUUGAUUGCAGUUGCGUUCUGUAAUUUGGCCCCCCUCUCUGACUACUCAUUUUCUCAUUUUCCCUAUCUUUAACGGUUCUAAUUCUUAACCUGUAGUAGACACUCUUGCCCUAUUUAUGUAUCCAAAUGAUUUGUGAUCACAGUCCCAAAAAAGAAAAGUUUAUGUUUUAUUCUCUAUAAUUUUUUUUUAAUAUACUGACUCUUUUGAAGUCCUCCAAAUUUAAUCAUAUAAAUUAAUCCACAAAGAUUAUCGCCAGUCAAACAAGACGCAUCGGAGCUAUGCAGUACAAAGACGAUUUUUUUUUUUCCAAUUAAGUUGUUUUCUGGAUAAAUUGCAUGUAGAUGAGAGGGAAUUGAAUUGCCAUAAGCAUAUCAAUAUUUAAAAUAUAAAAAAAAAAAGUGUUUUUAUUUGAGCCAAUGCUCAGUUACUGCCAUUCUCUCUCUUUUUUCUUUUUUUUUUUUAAAUUUAAUGUUACCCAUCUCCGAACAUACAAUUGAAAUACGAAAAAAAAAUUCCAAAAAUUAAGAAACAGGAACUAUUACAACUCCAACAAUAUAUUCUCACAACAUUGUUGAGCAUCUUUUAUUGAGAAAUAACAUCAAUUACACUCCAAAAACCAGCAAUAUAACUCCUAGUGACAAGCUGACAUUAAGCCAGCUCAGUUCAUGUUUUCCUCCUGAUCCACGUUCGUAUACAGGUGUUGAAACAUUCCCCACACACAAUUUUCCAAGUGGAAAUCCACACAGAUAUUCGUUGCCGAUAUAAGAGGAAUUUUCAAAGGUAGCAAAUUGAGCUCCGUCUGGAACUUCCCCGCUCAAGUUGUUAUACGAUACAUUGAUGAAUGAUAAAAACUCUAAAUUUACCAUACUCUUGGGGAUUUCACCCUGGAGCCGGUUAUAAGAGAAAUCAAGAGACUCUACUGACUUCAUAGCACCCAUAUUCACUGGAAUUCUUCCACUGAAGAAGUUAUGUGACAAAUUCAGUGAAUACAGUCCUCUAAGAAUUGUAAUUUCUGCAGGAAUCUCCCCAGAAAAUUUAUUGUUGGAAAGGUCUAUAUUUUUCACAACACCAAGUGGACGGUCUGUAUAGCUAACUGUCAUGCCUUUCGUUGUAAUUAAUUCCUUCUCGACGAACUGUUCUGUGAUAUUGAAAAACUUUCCUGGAAAACUGAAAUCGGAAGUAUAUUGAAGGGGAUGGAUACCACCGUAGCCAACAAAUCUAGACAUGGCGGUAAAGUUACCGAUACAUCUUGGUAUAGUUCCAGAGAGAUUGUUACCAGCAAGGACUAAGACUCGCAGAAAAGCCAGAUGGCAAAGCUCUAACGGAAAAACACCAUGAAAUCUAUUUGAACGAAGGAUGAGAAUUAACAUCCUUGAAAAUCUUUCUCCGAUCCAUACUGGAACAUUUCCGGAAAACUCAUUUUCACCGAUAUCAAUUGUUUCCAACUCAGUACAAUUUCCGAGUGAUUCAGGCAAUAUUCCUGACAGGUUGUUUUUGCGAAGGUGCAAUGAUCGGAGGAGGCUCAAAGCUCCCAAAGAGGUUGGAAGUUUCCCGGUAAAUUUAUUAUUAUCUAAUCUCAAAACCAGCAAGUAUCGCCAAUUCGUCCAACAAUCUGGUAUUUCUCCUGCCAAAAGAUUGUCUUCAACGUUGACAAUUUGCGUUAGCCUUGUCCCGUUCGUCUCGUGGCAAACAAAAUGCAAAAUUGAUCCUGACAACUUAUUUUUGGAAAGAUCCAGGACCAUUACAUUUGAGGCUAGAAGAGGCAACUGGCCGGAUAAAUUAUUAGCACUCAAGUCAAGGGUGGUUCCAAAUUGACAAACCUCAGUUAAAUUUGGGAUCUCCCCAUGGAUUUGAUUAUUUGAGAGGCUCAAAUAAUUGAAUUGGGUGAUCGAUUUCCAAAACCUAUUAGGAAUGGUGUCUACAAUCCCUGAGUCAGAGAUAUCUAAAUUAACUAAAUGAUUUUGUGAAUGAAGCCAAUUUGGAAAUGGAGGUCCUAGAUAACAAGAUCUCAAAUCUAACUCUUCAAGUUGAAAAACAGGAACCCAAUUCGGGUUUGCUUUCAACGCCAAUGAGUUUCCAGAUGCAUAAAAGACAGUUAGACUCGAAAGAUUUGCAAAGUGAAUUUCAGAAAUUGUUCCAUUUAAUUGGUUAUUGGAAAUAUCUAGAUAUCUCAAGGAAGAAAGUUUUCCUAAGGACCAUGGAACUUGACCAGAAAUGGAGUUCUCGCUUAAAUCAACACUGUUUAAAACUUUAAAUUUCCCAAUUUGAUUUGUCAAACUACCAGAAAGAGUUGUAUUACUCAGAUCCAAUGAUUCCAGUACAUCUGAUACACAUCCUGAGAAAAUAGCUAAGACUUGAGAUACCUUUUGAUGACUCAAUUGGAUACCUGACAAGCUAAUUGACCUCAAGUUACAGAAUCUUGAAAAUGACCUUGGAAUUGUCCAUUCAAGUUCGUUGAAUGAGAGAUCAAGGCUUUGGAUAGAACUCAGGUUUUCUAGAAGUACACUUGAAAUUCUCCCUUGCAAGCGAUUGCUGCUAAGUGACAGGUACUCAAGACGGCUAAAUUUGUUUAGCCAAUCAGGUAGCAAAUCACUGAGAUAGUUGCUAGAUAAAUCAAGAUGUCUAACAGAAGUCCAGUUUUGAAUUGCAUCAGGGAUUGGACCAUGGAAAUUGUUAUCACUGAGAUCAAGGAAAACCAAAUCACGGAGGCCAAAAAGCUGAGUAGCAAUCAAAGAGUUAUCAAAUUGGUUAUGGGAAAGAUCAAGGGUGACAAGAGAUGAAAAAUUUGCAACGGAUAGCGGAGGAAAGUGAGAGAGUUGACAGCCUGCCAACUGUAACACCAGUAAAGAACGAAGUGCAUUCGUCACAAGGGGGCCAUUGGAAACUUUGCUAAGGUCUACACCACUCAAGUCAAGAUUUUCCAAUAGAGAAAGAUUUGAUAGCCAACCCAAAUCCUCAACAUACAAUCCACCCAGAUAAUUUGGACGAAGGUUAAGAUAGUGCAGAUUUGAGAGAUUCCCAAUUUGGUUUGGAAUCAUUCCCACAAACCCAGCUCCAGAGAGAUCAAGGAAUCUUAAAUUUCCCAUAGAACCAAGAAAUCUAGGAAUCUGAAUCCCUUUAAAAUCAUUAUAGCUUAAGUUCAAGUAAAUCAAAUGCUCAAAAUCAAGCAGAGCGGGAUUUAUCUUACCAACCAAUUUUGAGCUCUCUUUAGUUUGUUGACCAUGAUCAUCUUCCCAAGGAUUUCCAAGGUGGAGCUCAAGCACAUGGCCUGUGAAGUUGUCGCAGAUAACACCAGCCCAUUUACAACAAUCUCCAUCGCCAAUCCAGGUGGAAAGCCGGUUUGAAGGAUCUUCGAGAUCUUGCUUGAAACUUAAAAGUGCUUCUCUCUCACUUUCAACGCAACCCACAUAGGAGCUUCCAUUGCAGACGCUAAUAUUUAAGGUAGCUAUGGCAAAUAACUUUAGGAAAAGAAAGGCAACAACAACACUCAUGGUUGGUUUAAUUUCAUAUACUUAACGUACGUAAUGAUCAACAAGAUUGGUAUUUAUUUUCACUAGUCUAAGCAGGGCAAUUUCUUUGCAUUUUACUUAAUUUGCUUAUCAUUCUUUUUCAAGAAUUGACUUCAAUUUUCUGAGUGCAAAGAGCAGGAAAUCUCUUAGAUAACUGCUUUUUGUAAAAUAUAUAUAAGACUUUUAAUUGCAAUGGGUCCUACACAAAUAAAGGAGUAGACUCUUGAGUCAAUUUAGAAUUUCAUUUUUUUUUAAUUUGUUAAUCCUCACCAUCUCUUCUAAAAUUCAUGGAACAUUUCAUAUAUCAUUUAAUAAUUAAAAAACGAAAGGAAAAGAAUGCUAGCUUAAUUAUGAUUAGCAAGCUGAAAUCGCGAAGAACAUUAACAGCCUAUACGUACGGAGUAGUGCUAUUAACACUCCUUAAUAACAAACUUAUAAUUAAACUCAUCUACCGUUUGUUUUCACUCUCUUCAAACUCUUCGAAGAUAUGCUAAAUUGUUUGUUUUCUCUUGAAAUUCUUUGAAUACAUCAUCAGGGAGGAAUUCUCGUCAUCAGGGAUGUAUAGUAGAAUUUCUCAUCAUCAGGAAGUCAUUUUCUUUUCUGUUUUCUGUUUGUGACUCUUCAUCUAUAUCUCAUGGUUCAGUUGAAAUAAUUACUGUUUCUUCCAUUUUCUUUACAAAUUCAUUACGUCCAUGUUUCUUUUUCUUUUAAUCAAUUAUUCUCAUAUUUAUAGAGUAUUUUAAACUAAAAUAUAAAUAUGCUUAUUUAAAUCAACAAUAAACAAAAUUGUAAGAGAAAAGUGACUUCAAUUUGUUUUAUGAUUGCGAAAAUUCACAAAGUUAAAAAAAGAAAAAAAAGAAAAGAAAAGGGUACCUUUGGAAUUGAAACAAGAAUAAAAAGGGUUUUGUCAUAAUUUUAAAAGAGUGAUAGAAGCUCAACUCAUAUGUACGGUGAGAUUGGACUGAUUAAGUGCUUAUAAGCUCACAUGUCAAGCCUUAAUUUAAUUAAAUGGGAAGCAAUUAGAGUCAUUAUAUUUUCAAUCGGGGAAGAAAUUUGGGGACUAAUUCCGAUCAAUAAUUGGUUGAGAUAUUGAAACAUGUAUUGAAGGCGAUCUUAUUACAUAUGGUUCAUUCAUGGGGCUGUUCUUAUCAAAUCUUUUAUUAUUCUGGAGUUGGAGAUAUGGAACGGAAGUUCUAGAUAACAAUAUCUCAAAUCUCUCUCCUCAAGUUGGAGUGUGAUUCCUUGGUGGUUGUUCAAUUUCUCCUUCGAUUUAAUUUUAAUCCCCAUGGGGUUCUACAAAAUAGAUAGUUCAACUGCAAAUAAGAUCUCGAUGCAUGGUUUUUAGGUGUUCUCAUAAUGAGAUGUUAAUUAGUUACUAUAAUUUCCCGAAGUUUGCAAGCUGAAAAUGAGAUGUUAAUUGUAGUCUUUCGUUUUCUUGAUUUUCUAAGAUUGAACACCCUGUUUCUUUCCUUUUAUUUUUUUUUAAAGAGCCAUUUUUGCGCAAAAUAUGAAAUUCUAGAAAUGAUAUCCAAAGCUUUUGUAAUUUCCUAUACCUAGAAAUAGAACCAAAAGCAACUCAUCUUUGACAUCUUGAGACAAAGUAAGAUCAAGGAAAUUUCCUCGAGAAAUUUGUGUGACCCAAGUCUUUUCUGGUGGCUUGACAAAAUCAACAUGAAAAAUUCUAGACGGCCUUGAUUUAAGUGAAAACCCCGCCAUUUCUGGUCAAUAACCAAUUGAGUGGAACAGUUUGUGAAAUUCAUUUCGCAAAUCUCUCAAGUCUAAGUUUGUGAAAUUUGUUAAUUUUCAUCAAUAAAUAAUAAUUAACUUAAAUAAAUGAUUCAUCAUAUGAUUAAUUUUUUUAAUAAUUAAAAAAAUUAAAUAUUUAGUCCAUGAAAUAAUAAUUGCUAAUACAUAGAUUUAUGUAUUAAUAAUGCACUAUAAUAAUGCACUAUAACCACACAAAUUUUUACUAUUUAUAUCAUCUUAUUGUGUUUAACGACAAGUUAUCUUAUGGAAUUUUGAAAUAUUACUCGAGAUAUUUGCCUGACAUAUUAGAGCAGGGACUAUCACAUCAAUUAACAUAUUAGAGAAUACUAAAAUUAAUAAUACAAUUAUAAGAAUUUUAUAAAAUGAAUUAAAAUGCUGAAUGCUUUAUGAUCCUUUGACUCACUCGUGAUGAUAGAGCAAUUGUUUUAUUUUGUUUUGUUGGAAUUUUUUUUUUUAAUUGUAUCUAUUCAUAUCUUUUUGGCGUGUGUCAAUCGGCUGAACAUAGUUAAGAAAAAAGAUAUUAUUAUUGUUAGUCUAAAAAAUAAUCGAAGGUAUUAAAUACUUUCUAUCAAGAAUUAUUUUUAUUUUAUUGUUAUUAUUUUUUUAAAUGAGCCAUUGCGUAGCGUAUUAAAAAAAAAAAAAGGCCGUUGCAUAUUAGUGAGGUAGAUAAAUGCAGUCAUCUAUGGAUCAACAAAUGCAGCCACUCUCGUGAACUUGCUCGCUCUAGCCCACAACCUCAUACAACCUAGACCUAAAUUUCUUAUGGGUAUCGCUGAGUUUCUCACAUUGAAUAAUCCCAACUCAAUUGAAAAUAAUAUUUCUAGACGAGAUACCCACCUAAUAUUUUUUUAUAUAUUAUUUUAUUAUUAAGAUUUUUUUGAAAUUUAUAUUUUUAUUACGUGAUAUUUCAAUUGUUAUUAUUUUACUACCAAAUAAUUAAUUUCUUUUAAAAAAUGAUGUGGUCACAAGGGUGUUUAGUGUAUUUUAAUUUGAUAAAUUUGAACAAUAGCGAUAAUUUGAUAUAAAACGAAAAAGACAAAUAUUAAUUUAAUAAUUUUCCCAUAAUUUAGGUAGUAAGUUGAUAAAUUUUCAAUAAAAGAAAAUAAUUAUUUAGGAUUAUUAAAUUAAAUAUUGUAAUUGAUAUGUACUUAUUAAAUUGAUUAGCUAAAUACAAAUGUUAAAAGAACAAGCAACUAAGAUAAAAUAGUUUUCUUAAAAUAAUAAUUUAUUUUAUUAAAUUUUUUAUUAUAAUUUAUUUUUAUUUGUUAAAAAUGAUAUAAAAUAAAUAUUACAUAAGCAGUUGUUUUCAAAAGUUUUAACAUUGAAAAUAUUUGAUUUUUAGAAUUUUUUUAAUUUUAGAGGACAAAAUCAAUUUUCUACACACUCUAAGGGUUAAAAUAGUCUUUUAACAAAAAUUUUAUUAAAUAUUCUAUUACUUUUAAUAUUUGGUGGAAAAAUUUUGUUAUUAGAAAACUUUAGUGAUAAAAUAAUAUGUAAGAAAAUAUUAGAUAAAUAUUUUUGAGUAUCCUUUCUAAAUUGAAACUUUGAAUUCUAAUAAUUAUAAAAGUUUGAAGAAUUUAAUAUUUUGUAUUGGUAAACUUUAUUGUAAAUGAAAUAUCACACAAUUAAUAUUGUAAUACUGAUUAAUAAAUGAAAUAUCACACAAAACUGUGUAUUCCACCAAAUUUACAACUAAUAUAUAUACAUAUGUGGAACUAAAAAGAUGGCUAAAUUAAAUAGUAAUAGUGGAGGAGGGUAUUUCAUAGGGAUGGUCAACAUCCCCACGGGGACGGAUACCCUCGGGGAUUUUUCCCAUUUGGGGAGGGUAUGAAGAUAAUUUCAUACCCAAUUUCUUAUUCGGAGAAGGGACGGAGAAAUUUUUUUAUCCAAUUUCUUAUUCGGGGAGGGAACGGGGAUGAGGUGGAAUCCCCAUCCCCUAGCCAUUUCCCCAUUUUAAUUUUUUAUUUUAUUUUUAUUUUUUAAAAUUACUAGUAAAUAAAUAAUAAAAUUUGAAUUAUAAAAUUAUAAAUAUUGGUAAAAAUAAAAAAUAUCAAAAUAUUUAUAUUAUUAAACUUUUAGGCCUAAUUAACUAAUUAAAGUCCUAAAUUUUUAUUUAGGACAUUAAAAAAACCGAGUAAAUUCUAUUAACCCAAAAAAUUUGUUUUUAUUUUAAUAUUCAUUAAAUGUUUUAAACUUAAAUCUAUUUAUUUAUUUAUUUUUAGAUGUUAUAAUUGCCCACAGCGAAUCACAAUUUUAAUAUCUAAUUUAAUCUAAUCUAAUCUAAUAUUUGCUCUUGAUUUGCUCCGACUUAACUAUUGUGUUGUAAAGGGAAUAUUCCACAUUUAUAAAGUGCCCACGCCACCAUUGAAAAAGUUAAUUUUGAAUCUAAAUUCGAUUUUAUUUGUAACAAUUUUAUAUUUGACUAUUAAUUUAUUCACGAUAGUUUGUAAAAGAAGUUUGUAUCCCUUACAUGUUGCGUUACUUACUAAUUUAAUGUAUGUGACUUUUGUAAUGGAUAUUAAUGUAAGAUAGAUUUCAAACUUUACUUUUAUUUAAAUUUUUUAUUUUAAUAUGAUUAACUCAAAAUCGAAAAUAAAAAAUGUAUUAGUUAUUCGGGGAUCGGAGAUCCUUGGAGAUCCCCUGUUAUUAUUCGGGGAGUGAAUGAGGAUUCUCUCAAGUAAUUCUGACGGGAUGGGGAAGGGACGGGAACAUACACAAAAUAUCGGGAAUGGAUACGGGGAGAUUGGUCCCCUCCCCUCCCCUCCCCAUUGCCAUCCCUAGUAUUUCAUUGUGACAAAUGACCCUUCUAUAAUAAAUAUAUGACGCUUGCACUGCACCGAAAAAAUUUCGACUUUAAAGAAUACAAUUUCAGUGAUCAACAUUCAAGUUUCAAGCCCACGAAAUUUAAGUUUUAUGCCUCAAGAAUGGGGACUGUGAGUCUGACCAAAAGUAUUCUUUCACACGAAGAAACCUAUUUAAAUAUUAAAGAAUGAAAAAGGAAAAUCAACCAUUCAAAUCUCAAAUGCUGACACUGUUUCUUCAUAUUUAACUCCAAUCUCCUUUUUUUGGGAAGCAAGAGGCUCUAUAGAUUCCCUCUUUUUGGAAAGCCACAAACACUUAUUAUAUAACCCACAAACUCAUUUCUCAUUUUCUUGUUCACAAAUAAUUCAUUUGUGAAGUUUGGGCAAUAAUGGAGGAAUUAGAAGAAGAGCACGGUUUUGAAGUGAGAGAGGAGUUCAUGAUUGCACCAAAUGGUGCUGCAAAGCCUUCAAAAAGACUUGCCCGUUUUCUCAAACCUUGCGUGAACUCCGUUAAAGGGCAAGUUUUUGAGUUUCCUUCAGAUUUUUUGUCCUCCUUACCACCCACGUUUGAACCCAAAACAUGGCGUUUAAAUGUAAAUUUUCACGGAUGGAGGUCACCGCAAAAGAAUUGGAGAACAAGCACACUAGAACUGCGAUCAUUGAAUUUGUCACAUAAUUUUUUCAGUGGAAGAAUUCCUGAGAAUAUCGGUGCUAUGGCGAUAUUGGAGUCUCUUGAUUUCUCUUAUAACCGACUCGAGGGUGAAAUCCCCAAGACAAUGGUAAAUAUGAAUUUCUUAGCAGUCUUCAACAUAUCGUAUUCCAAUGGCCCGCUUGUGACAAAUGCACUUCGUUCUUUACUAGUGUUACAGUUGGCAGGCUGUCAACUCUCUCACUUUCCUCCGCUAUCCGUUGCUAAUUUUUCAUCUCUUGUCACCCUUGAUCUUUCCCAUAACCAGUUUGAUAACUCUUUGAUUGCUACUCAGCUUUAUGGCCUCUGUAAUUUGGUUUUCCUUGAUCUUAGUGAUAACAAUUUCCAAGGUCCAAUCCCUGAUACAAUUCAAAACUGGACUUCUCUCAGACAUCUUGAUUUAUCUAGCAACCAUUUCAGUUAUCUGAUACCUGAAUGGCUAAACAAAUUUAGCCGUCUUGAGUACCUUUCACUUAGCAGACACGCAGCUAAAAUAAAAUUGGAAGAAAAUAAAGAACAAGCACACUAGAGGACACCAGAAAUUACGUGGUUCGGCUUUUAGCCUACAUCCAUGGGCGAAGACAGAAGGAAAUAUUUUACUAGUGAAAAGAGUUACAAGUAUUGUAUAGUGGUAGCGGCUCCAAUAAUCCCGCUGGAAGUUGAUGAUCCACCUUGUCUUGUUGGCACACAAGACAAGUCCGCACAUAUGCCUCAAUGUCGUCCCUCAUGUGCGGCCAAAAAUACGAGGCUUGGACUAGUGCGGUGGUGCGCUCAAUUCCUGGGUGACCAGCCCACUUGGAGUCAUGGCACUCUUUGAUUACUUCCUUCCGUAAAUUUCCCCACCUUGGCACAAACAGCCGAUCUCCCUUGGUGAGGAGGAUGCCUUCUUCUUGCCAAAACCGUCUUGUCUUUCCCUCGAGCACCUUCUCCAGCAAAUCCUUUGCUAGCGGAUCUUGUUGGAGGCCUUCCUUGAUGCGUAAGACAAGGUCAGACUUCGGUUGGCUCAUGCUAAGUGUCGCCAAUUCGGCCUUGCGGCUUAGAGCGUCCGCAACGACAUUGGCUUUCCCCGGUUUGUACUCCAGCCGAUAGUCGAAUUCCGCAAGGAAAUCUUGCCACCGUGCUUGCUUCGGACUCAACUUCUUCUGAGUUUGAAAGUAGCUUGUCGCCACGUUAUCCGUCAUAAUUGUGAAGUGCGAGCCAAGCAAGUAAUGUCGCCACACCCGCAAGCAAUGUAUGAUUGCGGUCAUCUCCUUCUCUUGCACCGUGUAGCGGCGUUCCGUGUCAUUUAGCUUUCGACUCUCGAACGCUAUUGGGUGGCCUUCUUGCAUAAGGACUCCACCUAUGGCGAAAUCCGAGGCAUCCGUUUGAACUUCAAAGGGCUUGGUGUGGUCCGGAAGAGCGAGGACUGGUUCCUCCGAAAUUGCCUUCUUCAACUCCUCGAAGGCGUGUUGGCAUUCUUCGGACCAAUCCCAUGUUCUGUUUUUCUUGAGCAUAUCCGUCAAGGGUGCCGCCUUGGCUGAAUAGCCCUUGAUGAAGCGACGGUAGUAGUUCACCAGCCCAAGGAAUGAGCGAAGCUCGGGCACUUUCGAGGGAGGCUCCCAAUCGAGGAUGGCCUUUACUUUGUCAUUCUCCAUCAUGAUCUUCCCGCCCGCAAUCUUGUGGCCAAGGAACUCCACCUCUUGUUGGGCAAACGAGCACUUCUCUAGUUUGAGGAAGAGCUCAUUGUCUCGAAGUACUUGGAGGACUUGUUGCAAGUGUUGGGCAUGCUCCUCGAGCGUGGUGCUAUACACCACUAUGUCAUCCAAGUACACGACCACGAAGCGGUCGAGGAAUGGUUGGAGCACCUUGUUCAUGAGUGUGCAAAAUGUGGCGGGUGCAUUAGUAAGGCCAAAAGGCAUCACAAGGAAUUCGAAAGACCCGUACCUUGUUGUGCACGCUGUCUUUUGUUCAUCUCCCUUGGCGAUGCGCACUUGGUAGUACCCGGAGCGCAAGUCAAGUUUGGUGAAGUACCACGCUUUACCAAGCUGGUCGAACAAGUCCGCAAUCAAGGGAAUCGGAUACUUGUUCUUGAUGGUGAUCUUGUUGAGCGCUCUAUAGUCGAUGCACAUCCGCAGCGAUCCAUCCUUUUUCUUUUGGAAGAGGACCGGUGCACCGAAUGGGGCCUUUGAGGGGCGAAUAUAGCCUGCGUCCAGCAAGUCUUUGAGUUGUCUCCGCAACUCCUCUAAUUCGGGUGGCGCCAUGCGGUAGGGCGCCAAGGCUGGUGGCUUCGCGCCUUGUUCCAGCUCGAUCGCAUGAUCUACCUCUCGCAGAGGUGGGAGCUUCUUCGGAAGUUCUGGAGGCAUCACAUCCUUGUAUUUAUUGAGGACGGCUUGAAUUUGCGGAGGGACUUGGCUUGGCGAAGUUCCGCUAUUUCCUUCCUCAUUUAGUUCCCGAAUGGAGACUAAGAAGCUUGGGUCCUUCUUGAAAGCCUUCUUGAAUUGCAUGGCGGAGAGUGUCUUCUCCUCGGACUUGCCUCGUUCCGUGGGAACCAUGCAUGCCUUACUCCCGUCGAGGAUACUUAGGGAGUUUGUAGCGGGCAGCGGGAAGGCAUGGACUUGGUCGAAGAAUUCCAUGCCAAGGACCAUCUUGAAGUCGUCCAUGGGCACGAUGGAGAAGUCAAGCUUUCCGCUCCACGUACCAAGUGUGAUGUGCACGCCUUGUGCAAUUCCCGCAAUUGGCUUGGCGGGUGAGUUUACUGCCUUCAUUGUGCCUCCUUCCUUGGUGGCCUUGAGGCCUAAACGCUUGGCCUCAUCUACAGACACGAAAUUGUGUGUUGCUCCCGUGUCUAGCAGUGCGCGAACGGAUUGGCCGUUUACCUUUGCGCUAACAUACAUGAGCCCUUUCUUGACUAGUGCGGGCUGUUGGCGGUUGAGUGCGCCGAGGCGUUGGAGAGAACCCAUGCUGAGUUGGGGUUCCUCCGUGGACAUUGUGGGGUUGCUCUUGAGUUGGGCAGCAAGAGCGUUAAGCGACCUCUUCUCCGGACAGUCGCGCACCCAAUGAGGACCAUUGCAUAUGAAGCAUGGGCUUCGCGGCUUUGGCGCCUCCUUCUUGCCCUCCGAUUUUCCUUGCCAACUCUUGUUGCUAGGUGGCUUUUUCUGCCCCCAAUCUUUGCGGUUGUUGCCCUUGUCCUUGCGACUCUCUCCCCCACCUUUGCCUUGGUUGGCCUUUUUGUCCUUGGAUUGGGUAGAGUAUUCGGUGAGCGACUCCGCAACGGCAAUGGCGUCGUCAAGUGUUUGAACACCACGCCUAUCAAGCUCGGUCUUGGCCCAAUCCUUGAGGCCAUCUUGGAAGUAGAAGAGUGAAUCCUUGUCGGACAUGUCGCUUAUCUCCAACAUGAGGGUAGUGAACUCGUUGAUGUACUCCCGAAUGCUACCCGAUUGCUUGAGGCGACGUAAGCGCACUCGCGCUUCCUUCUCCGCAUUGCUUGGGGCGAACUGCUUUCGGAGUUCUUGCUUGAAGUCGGCCCAAGUGUCGAUGGUGCAAAUGCCCUUGCCCAUCUCGCCAUGCUUGCGACGCCACCAUAGUUGUGCAGCGCCUCUAAGAUAGGUGGGUGCAGUGCCCACUUUCGAUGCCUCAUCUCGAACACCCAUGGCAUCGAAGUAUUGAUCCAGCCCAAAGAGGAAAUUGUCCACGAUGGUGGCAUUGCGUGUGCCAUCGUAGGUGUCGGGCUUUGGCACGUCAAUGCGGCGCGCAUCACUCGAGUUUGCGGAAGCUGGACUUGUGGAGAGUGUGCGCUUGUGCCAUGCCCAAUCCGAGCGGACUUCAUCCACUUCCGCACGGACAGCACGUAGUUCGUCCUGAACAAAACUACGAAGUUUGAGCAACUCAUCAUGGAAAGAACGAAACUCACCUCGGAGAAUGUUUGCUUGCUCAUGGAUGAGAGCUUUUGUGGCCACCGUGAACUCGGCGUAUUCUCCCUCGAGACCAUCCACUCUUUCCUCCAAUCCCACGAGGCUAUCUUGAGCGGCGGACAAUGCUAUUUCGAGAGUGCCUACACGAGGCUCCAACGCAUCCACGGAUAGGGCCUUGGACUUGCCGCGAGUCUUGCCUUGGGCGCGUUCUCCCUCUCGGCCGCGGCUUGGUUCCGGUGGAACAUCCACACCAACAACACCCUCUUGUGCUACGUUCGAAGGGUUGGCCAUUGCUUUGUGAGCUAAUUUGCGUGCGUGCAAACCUUAGCUCUGAUACCACUUGUCACGGGAUGAGUGUUUUGCGCAGCUAACCCGUGCGGCACUUAGACAACUUUGCCGAAUGUUGCUAAGUAAGCCUAGAAAUUCUCGAACAAGAGAAGAGAGAGCAAUUGAGCCAAAGAAACUUGUAUUGCACAAAGAGAGAUUACAAUGCUUGUUGGAUACAAAUGCCAAAUGCCAUCCCAUAUUUAUAGGGGAGGCUUUACCUAACUUUGCCUAACUUUGCCUAACUUUGCCUAACUUUGACAAACUUGGUCAAACUCUAGAAUAUUAUACAAUUUCCUAGCUAUUUACAUGUGCUGGAAUUGUAUAAAGUAUUCUAGAAUAUUUACAUGUUCACAUGUGCUAGAGUUGCCUAGAACCUUCCGGAAUUGGGCCAAGCUAGCACUCUUGGCCUUGUGUUGGCUCUCUAGCCCGAAAUUGUGGGCAAUUGGGCUAGCGAAUUGGGCGGUCCGCAACAUUAUGCUGCAUUGAUAACCUGCAGGAUUGUUGCUUCUACAAGAAAUUAAAAAAAAAAGGAAGAAAGAAUUAUUAUUUUUAGUCUAACUAAUUGUUGCCGUUUGUCUAUAGUGAAAGUUCUACAAACAUUAUUAAAUGACUUUGAAAGUAUUAAAACGCAGAACUUGAUGAAAUUCAUUUUCUCUUCUUCUGGUUAUGUUUGUUAUUUUCGUUGGUACCUAUUUAGUAAAUCUAACAGGAUAGCUUCCUUAGCAAAUACAUAAAUGUGCCUGGUAAUAAAUUAAAGGGUGUGAACAAUGUGCACACGACAAUAAAUCUUGAAAAACUAAGGCAAGUUAAGAUGAGGAGAGCAUCCUUAAAUUUUUAUUUCAUUGUAUCGGUAAAUAAAUGCAUUCAAAGAACACGAAAAUGGGGGAUAGCUACCACCCUCAAUACUAUACCAAGAUUUCCAUCAGUAAUCUUGCAGCUCAAAUUUCUGGAUCAAUUGACCAAAAUCUCGUUUAGCACUGCUGGGGUGAGUCAGCUGUUUUUUUAUUUUUUUAUUAUGUCAUUUUUAAAUAAAAAUUCAUAUACUAAGUCUUACAUAAUAAUACCUGUCAAAUACUCAUAAGAUCUUUUUUACGGUUAUGGUGCCGUUUUUGGACUCGAAAGGUGACUUGAGGCCAACGUUUGAUUUCAUGUUAUAUUGAUAUCUGAAUGUCCUCAAAAGCUUACGGCUAUUAUAUGCACAGCAGAUCAGUACAACUGUACCAGUUCAUUUCUUUUCACAGUCUCUUGUCAUACAUUCAAAAUUUUUCAUUAAAAUUUUUCUAAAUUGUGUAAAAUAUUUUACCUUUUUCAAGAACUUUAAAAAUGUAACAUGAAAUUUGAAAACCUUAAUAAAUAAUGUUAAAAUGGAAUCCUAAAAAAAAAGUUUAUCAAAUAAUAGGUGGAGUAAUUUGUUGUAACACACUCACUCUUUUGUUUUUAAUAGAAAAUUCACCCUUUUAAUUUGUUUUUAAAAAUUCACCAUUUUAAGAACUUGCAAAAAUAGGUCAGUGUCUACACUCUCUGAACAUACUACAACGCAGCCAAUAGACUGCUACCGCCCAAAGCUUUGUCAGAGACCAAGCAGAGGUGGAAACACAAAAGUGAGAAAACUCAGAAACCCAUUUAUUUUAAAGCAUUGUUCUUGAUUUUAAAACAAUCGAGGAAUCCUUAGAUGAUGGUUUUGAAGUGAGAGAAGAGAUGAUGGUUUCAUUAACUGGUGGUGGAAACCCUACGGAGAGAGUAGCCCAUUUUCUCAAACACAACAUAAACUCUAUUCAUGGCCCAGUCUUUGAGCUUCCUUCUCAUUGUCUUAACACAAUACCAAUAACUCUUGCGCCUAGAAACUGGCCUUUAGAUGUGAAAUUUCAUGGAUGGAGGUUACCCCAAAGAAAGUGGCAAGCAUGGGUUGGCAAGAUGGCAGCUUUGCAUGAAUCUACGUGGAAGAAAGCUGGCAUACAUGAAGCCAUCCUGAACUCCAAGUAUGCAAUCCGAAAAAACAAUGAUUUGGUUCUUGGUCUUGCGGAGAAAUGGUGUCCUGAGACCAAAAGUUUCAUUUUCCCAUGGGGUGAAGCAACUAUUACAUUAGAGGAUAUGAUGAUUCCAGGGUACUCUGUGUUGGGUUCCCCUGUUUUUAGGCCUCUCCAAACCGAUGAGUUGAAGGAAAUAGAAAAGAAGUUGAACCAAGUGAGAAAGAAACUCGAUAGGAGUACACAUGGGAAGGCAGAACACAGCGCGUGGAUGAAUGAAUUCAUGGACAGCGGAAGCAAAAUUGAACACGAAGCAUUUCUUGCCUUGUGGUUGUCAAGGUAUGUUUUUCCAUCCUCCUUUUGUAUAGUGGUCAAAUCUAUUUUUCCACUUGCUGUUCAUUUAGCUAGAGGGACUAGAAUUGCACUUGCACCCGCUCUUCUUACUAGCAUUUAUAGAGAUUUGAAUUUGUUGAAAGAAAAUAUUGUUGCUUUGAUUGAGAUAGACCAUUGGGAGGAUGAUGACAGUAAGCUAUCAGUUACUCUACGGUCACCGUUUCAGUUAGUCCAAAUUUGGGCUUGGGAGAGGUUUAUUGACUUGAGACCAAAGCCUAAUUUGAUCAACAGUGGUGAGCCAAGAUUUGCCAGUGGCACAAUAAAAUGAGUAGAUUUGAGAAUGUGAGGAGAGUUUUGGAUUCAGCCAAAGAGAAUUUUGAUUGGCGUCCCUAUGCCAAAAUUUUAAGAAACUGGAAGCUGCCUGAGUUUUAUGGAGAAAGGGAAAUGUGGGUUGCUGUUGAUGCUGGUUUGUCUCAAGAAUUAUGGUCAUUGACUCAGAUCUUGAGGGUUUCUGAGCUAUUUGGUCUUGAUUGCGUAGAGCAAUACCAUCCACAUCGAGUAGCAAUGCAAUUCGGAAUGGACCAAGACCUUCCAGCUUUGGUUGACCGAGCCAACAAGACACCGUGUGUAGCAUGGAGUGAUUACUGUAAGCCGAUUAGUUAUGCAAGACUGUAUGUCCCUUCAAGGCUUUAUGAAGCUGAUGUUACAACUCGAUACUUAGACUGGUGGAAGCAAUCGUUGUCGCGUCUACAAGUUGCGAGUAGGGCUGUUCUGCCUCGGCUGCAUAUUUUUAGUACUUCUGAGAUAAAUCCAAAGAGAUCAAAAAGAGUGAAAAGAAGUUUUGCAGGUUCUAGGAGGAUGCUGGAGAGAGUACAAACAAUGAAGAAAAUUGAUAGGUUCUCGUGGCCUAAGAUAACAGCAAAGAGAUCAAAAAGAACGAAGAGAAGGAACUUCAUCACAACGGUUGAUCCAAAGCCUAGGAGAUUGGACAAAAUGAAGGAAGGAGAUGGUUCCUUAAUUCAUACUAGUUUUUCUUGCAAGGGCCUGGAAAAUUCACCAUUACUGACUUUAAAUGUCAAGAAGGAACUCAACAAUACAUCUGCUUCUAUUGGUUUCCAUUCAAAAAUAUUACCAUUGAGUCUAAGACUAAUGAAAUAAGCAAAUAAUUCUCCUGUUCCUCCCGGCUUUCCUCCCAAAUCUAAUUUAGUCAAAAGGGAUUCAGCUGAGGAAGAUAACCUGACUAUUAAGGAAUCACUGAAGUUCAGUGAAAAACAGAAUGAUAUCCAAAACACAAGGGAAAUUGUAAUGCAGAAUGAAUCUAUUGAUGUUGUCUCAGUGACGGAUACGGAAGAUGUAAAGAGUAGAGCGAGGGACCAUGUAACGGAAGGAAAUGGUGAGAACUAUGCUAGUGAAGUACCGGAGGAUCUUAAGCUUGGGUUAGCAGGCUUAAGAGGAUCGUUGAAGAGCUAAAAGCAGCAAGAUUUGGUUAUAAAAGGCCAGGCUUAGCAUCGAAAUGAAUAGACUCGUGUUUAACAUGAUACAUUAAAUUGUUUAGGUUCUAGAACUUCAGCUAAAACUCUUGUUCUAAUUAUCAUUUGAAAGAGAAUAGAGUUUAUGACAAUCUUUUUUUUAAACAUACAAGUAUGUGUCAAUGACUUCAAGUGAGCUUUACUGGUCUAGAGCUCUGGAGCAAGUGAGCUUUACUGGUCUAGAGCUCUGGAGCAAGUGAGCUUCGGGGGUCUAGAGUUCUAGUGCAAAUGAGCUUUGGCAGUCUAAAUCUCUGGAGCAAAUACCUUCAAGAAUAAGACUUGGUAUUGCUUUUUCAAUUGAAAAUAGAAAAUGCUAUAUGGUAUUAGAAGUGCAUUCAUUUAAGGAAUUUUUUUUCACAUUUAUUUUUUUAACAAAAAUUUAUCUUACGUAAGAGGUGUAGCUGAUUCUAGUACGUCAAAUUCAACUCCCCUUAUGAGCAAAAUACGGAAGAAUAAUUUCUUUAAAAUUUAGAAGUAAAUUUGGUUUCCUGGCAGAUUUCUGAUCCAUGCCAUAAUUACAUGAUUUCUAAGCAGACAAUGUAUUAAAUAUCGCAAAUAUAAAAGUCGAUGUUAUCACUUUCAAUAAUAUUUAUAUACCAAGAUUUUACGACGAUAAACACAGCAGCUUAAGAAAAUAAUAGUAAUUAUAGGUGAAAAUGGGUUCUCUGGAAAUAUUCCAGCAUGGAUCGGAGAAAAGCUUUUACGAAAAAUGAUCCUCCGCCUUCGAUCAAACAAAUUCAACGGUCAAAUACCAGCCGAGCUUUGUCGUCUAACUUCUCUACAUAUCUUAGACAUUUCUCAUAAUAAUUUUUCUGGAACUAUACCGAGAUGUAUCAAUAACCUCACAGCCGUGAUGAACCAGGAAAAUUCUAUGGAGACUGAUAAAGAAUAUGAUACCUUUACUAUUGAGCUUAGCAUAUUGGUCGUGAUGAAAGGAAGAGAGCUGGAGUAUAAUACCAUGCUUAAAUUGGUAAGAUGUAUGGAUCUGUCUGGAAAUAAUCUUUCAGGAGACAUUCCGGAAGAAAUGACAAAUCUUGUAGCAUUGCAAUCACUGAAUUUGUCACACAAUUUUCUUACUGGAAAAAUUCCUGAGAACGUGGGUGCCAUAAGAUCAUUGGAGUCCAUUGAUUUCUCUGGAAAACCUUCUUUCUGGUCGAAUCCCACAAAGCAUUUCAAGUUUGACGUUUCUGAGUCACUUGAACUUGUCUGAUAACAACUUGACCGGAAAAAUUCCUUUGGGCACUCAACUGCAAGGCUUUGAUGCAUCCUGUUUUGCUGGAAACAAUCUUUGUGGCGCUCCACUUUCAAGAAUUGUACUGAUCAUAAUAUUUCGGUACCAGCUGAAAAUGAAAAUGGCAGUGAAGAUGAAGAUGAAGAUGAAGAUGAGGUGGGCUAUUGGUUAUGUGUGAGCACGGCAUUUGGAUUUGGGUUGGGCUUUUGGUGUGUAAUUGGCCCUUCGUUGAUCAACAGAAGAUUAAAUAUAUUGUCAUUUCUUGGAUCGCAUUAUUGCCAAAUUAGGAUGUUUGUAAGAAAUGUUGCUCGACUGGACUAUUUUAUGUAAUAUAUUUAGAGCUGUGUCUUUUGAUGUAUCUUGUCCAACAAAUGGAGGCUCGAGAAUGAAAUUAAUGGACUGCUUUUGCCUUUAUAUGUGAAAGGUCACGGAAUGAAUUAAAUAAUAAUAGGAUCGAUUCAAUAAGUAAGGAUCACUUCAAUAUUUAGCAUUCAAUAUAACUCUGAGUACUAUUUUGAAGCUUGAGAAUGUAAUAUUUUAUUAUUUAUGCUAAAAAUCAUUGCAGCAUUUUGUGGAACUUUUAAGGCUUAAUUAAUGAGAUACAGUGACCGUAUAGUAUGAAAUCUCCCAUGAACUUGGUUAGCCAUACGCCUCUACCUGUUCCACUAUUGUUUGUCACUCAAUUCUCAAUCAUUUUUAAUUCUUAAUUUUUAUUGAUUUUCUGGUUGAAAAAAUGAGCGUGAACAAUCCUGACACGUUAUAGGCAUGGAAUUGGUAUGUAGCGGAUAAGCUGGACACAACUACUCGCACAAAAUCAUUCAAUAACUAAGGCGGCCCCGUUUAAAGAACCAAGCUUUUUAGCCCCAGCAAAUAAUCUCAUCCGGGCCUAUUCCGAGAUAGAGGAAUUUUAUUCAUUGUGUGACAUUAGAUUGUACGUCGAAUAAACGGAACAGUUUUUUUUUUUUUUUUUGACCUUUUACUCAUUCAACUGUAUUGAAUUACAUUCAAUUUUGCUGUGUGCUAUUCUUGUCAGUGAGUGAUUGCAAUCAAAACAGAACAUAGGACCAGCCAGUGCGAUAUUCUUCCAGUUCUCAUUAGGAAAACUACUAAAACACGUCUACAUAUGCAUAAAUAUGAAUCCACAACAUUCUUUCGAAUAAGAAUGCUUUUUCUUCAAAUAUUUUCUUUUGUGUUUCUUGUUCACAACCCAAAAUGAUCAAACCACUCGUAAAAAGGCUCAAGAAAUUCCAGUGCAGCAGUUGGAGACAGUCUAGGAAACUCCUUUACCUGUCUGCUAAUCUUGAUGGGAUACUUAACACCUGAAUAUCCCCAGGUAAUGCUCAUUUUCUGCAAUACUUGUCCAUACUUUAAUAUAAACCUCACCAACUCUAGUUGAUUCUUGUUACCGUAAAACUCCAAUAUCUCAACCGUUUUGAGAUGAUGCGUCAGACAUGGAAUACCCUUAUCUGGUAUUUUCCAGAGAUCACCAUCUUUAAACUGUCAGAGUGAAAACAAAUAAAAUAUCAAUGCCAAAAGUAAGGAAGUCAUUCUGACAAAACAGGUUAUAUGCCAAUCAGGUUUUAUGCCAAACAACACUCCAAAAUCCAAAUGCUGACCAGGCGAAAAUAAAUAUUCCAAAAUUAGCCGAUCAAUUGGAUGGAUCCAAUUCCAUAAGAAACUAAUUCUCAGCUAAUGUUCACACAUUCUUCUGUGCAAACAUGACCUAAGCUGUGGUAAUCAUCAGGAUGCUAUCUUUAUCGGAUAGGCCCAAGGAGGCACUCAAUUUUUUGCAUGUGAGACUCGCACGCUUAAGUGUAUUAUCUUCAGUUUGAACCACAACAUUGCCAAAUCCAAUUAACAUUAAACAAGAUUAAUUACACCUAACUGGAGCAAUAAUUCUAGGUAUUGAAAUUACCCAAUCAAAAUAUAUUGCAAGUGCUUCAAGAUUGGGAGAGCAGUUGAGCAAGUUGAUUGUUGAUUGUAUGGUCUGGUCAAAUGGGCCAAUAAUCAGCUUUAAAGACUUCAAAUUAUACAAUGGAGAGAAGAAGCAAUCCAGCUUAGCAAAUACAACAUUGAGAAGCUGCAGGUAGCACACAAAAAGAAAUGAUAAACCAUAAGGAUCUGGAUUCCGAGAUAAUCACAAGCAAAAUUCAACUAUGUACCAAUGAUAUUCAUAAAGAGUCGUGACUUACGCUUGAGCCUCAGUAAGCCACAAAAAAGAGUUUUGCUCACAAGUUGGCUUGGUAAUGGUAAGAGCUAAGAACAUCAACUAAUGCUUUCAAUGUUCAUAGCAUAUAAAUGUUCUACAUAAGGCUCAUAAAAGGAAAAAUUGAAAGAGGGAGGCGGUAGGAAAAAUAGAAAAAGAAAAUGGGCACAAUUAGAAAGACAGGUCUGCAACUAGCAACUAUCAAAUGAUACAAUUACAUCCUAAUUAUAUUUAUAGUACACAAGUGAUAUGUCAAACAUAUAUCAAAUUCCAAAAACGGCUUACAAGAUCACAGUUAUUUAAAGCAAACUAGACUCCAUUGAAACCAGUUGCAUUGUCAAAUGUAAACGGUCAACAAAAUCACCAAACAAGAAACCAAAUAGUAGCACAUUUAAGGAGAGCAUAGAUUCAUACCCAGGAAACAACCAUAUUUAGUUUCAGAACUUCAGCAUUGCGAACUCCAUUGAAUAUUUUACUCACACCAUAACAAACAUCAUCAUCACCGUCAAUAUCUAAGUAAAUGUAUGCCUUUUUUAAGGACUUUAACCCCUCAAAGGAGAACUCCAGUUCGGCUGAGCCUGAAAAUUUCAAAGACAGAAGAUUUGGGCAGGCAAGCUUUACCUCACAGUUGGCCAAACCUUUUGGUUCACAGAAUCCAACAUCAUCUAUGGUCAAAUGCUUUAAACUGGUUGCUGAAAUAUCAAGAAUCUUGAAAUCACGGAAAAAACAAGCCGCCAUAUUCAAAUUUUCAAGGAGUGGACAGCUUGAAAUAAACUUACGGAACAAGUUAGAAUCCAAUAACUCAACCUUUUGCAAAUCAAGGGACUUGAGCCGGGUAAAACCAGCACAAGUAGGCAGCUCUAAGACACCCUGACGGUACACUUUUUUGCCAAAAUCUAACUUCAAUGACACCAAUGACUCACAAGUUACAAGACAACGGGGCAACUUAAUAGGUUCUUCUGAAAUAAUAUCCAAAUCAAGUACUUGCACAUUUCGUUGUGCCACAGCACUUAACCAUCUGUAAAGUGUAUAAUCAUCGACACAAUUGAAGCACGAAAGAAGAAAUCUUUGAAUAUUAAUGGACCCAUUUUGAGACAGCAACACCCAGUUGACAAAAUCUUUGAACUUCUCAUUGAUUUUUUCAAGUGACCAUUUUUCCUGCGGAUUUGACCAAAUAUUGUGAAUAUUGAAGUUCAAGUAAGGAAUUGAAAGCCAGAAGUACCUCCAUUUUCGCGAAACAGCGCUUGCUCUAACAACAUCAAUUGUGCCAAGGAACGAGAAUAUGUGAUGAAUAAUGGGCUCAGGAAGAUUGCUGAGUCUGUCAACAUCUUCACUGCCAAAUCUCAAUCUCGGAAUUUUUGUGCUCUUAGAAGCGUCUACCAUUGAAAUAGAAUUUUGGGUUUUUAUGUUAGUAUCGAUCUGGGGUAUCAAUGGAUCUACUUACUCAUCCAUAGAUACUUAUCAAGUGGAAAGGGGAAUGGGAAUUCCGACGUUAGAGAUGAAUACGCGCGCGGGGAAAUUUUCCCGCCCCCUAAUUUUGGGGAUCUUAUAAAUGGACGAAUUGCCUACUUCAAACGAAUAGUUGUCUUGUUCUCCUUUCGUGGAUCUUUAAGGCAAUAAGGCCUGUUACUUUUCUAAAAAAAAUAAACAUUUUCUUUCAGAUCAGGCCAAUUAAUUGAUAUUCCAAUCAAAAUUUUUAUUUUUAUGUAACACUUUAUUUUCUAAUUAAGGAAUAUAUAUAUAUAGAGAGAGAGAGAGAGAUCAGAGACUCCUGAAAUUCUUCAUUUUUAACGCUUAUUUUCAUUCAUUAAAUCUAAGAGAAAUCUAUGUUCACCUCUAUCGUAUUCGUGGAAGAGGUUACACACCUCCAUCCAAUUGUGACACUUGAGAGUUCAAGUUCAAACCUGUGUCCUAUUAUACAUAUAUUAUACAUAUCAUCUACGUUUACUCUGCAUAUCAUGAAAAGUAUAACAUACAAUUAGAGUGCAAAUCGACAACAAUUUGAAAUAAAUAUGAAUACCGUAAUUCAUAAACCUUUUCAGAAUUGGACAACAGAAAACUGAAAAGCUGCAUAAUUAGAUGGUAUUUCGAAACAAAAUACAUUGCUGUCCUUGUAACUGGCUCUGUUUCCACUUUCCACAAAUCCAAAAGAAUGUUCGCUUCAAGCAAAUCAAAUAUAAAUAACAUACAAAGUUACUCUCACAUAUAUCAUGUUUCCAUCAUAAGUCAAUCAUCUUAAUAUUUCACAGAAGUCAAUAAGUGAUUUAGGCUGAAGGAAUUUCAGUAUAACACUUGAAGAUGAUCUCGGAAACUUCAUUAUCCUCGAGAUGAUCUCCCUACGAUUGUAAACAUCUUCCAACCAACUAAUCCUCAAUUUUUGUAAUACGUGUCCAUUCUUUAGAAGAAAUCUCACCAACUCAAGUUCAUUUUCAUGACCUUUAAAUUCAACUAAAUCAACCAUCUUGAGAUGACAUGUCAAACACAAAAUAGCCUUGUUAGAUAUUUUCCACUCAUCAAAAUAUUCAUCCUGUAAAGAGAAAAUGGAUAGGAUGUAGGUAAGUAAUGCAAGGAAAUAAAUCUGAACAAGAAUAAUAUCUUAAAGCAAAUAAUAGGGUAAGAUAAGACUUAAGUUUUAAAAGGUAAAUCAUCUUAAUUGGCAAAACAUAAUAUUCUUAGUUGGCGUAGCCACCCUGCCGAGUCUAAUUUUUUUAGAAUCAACAAAAAAUUUAUUUGCUCCAAUUCAAUUUUUAUUUGUUCCAGCCGGCUUUAAAUAAUAUACAAAAAAGUAGGCUCAAAGACUCAAAACUCACAAUAGAUGAGUAUGUUAAAUCCAAAAUGAAUUGCAAACAAUAAGUAAAAUCAAAUUCUUCUACGUAAAUUAAAUUUACCCUCACUUGCUUUAAGGUCAGGCUAUGCCAUUGCACAUAUGCCCUUUCUUGUUAUGGUAACACAACAAAAGAGCAUCAAGAUUAACUUUUACCAUCACACUUUAUCAGACCUACUUCGAAAGUGUUGUAUUAAUUGAAACCAAGCCUGGUGACACUUUAAAAAGGUUAAACUCCUAGUACAUAGAUGAGAGAUAUGAUAAAAUAAGUGGGUAGAAGAAACUGUGUCUAACAAAUGAACAAACUUAGGUAUUACCACAUCAAAAUAUAUUGUAAGAGCUUCAAGGUUUGGAGAGCGGUUGAGCAAUCUAAUUAUUAACGGCACGGUCCAUUCAGCCAUAGUCACGCAAAGUAUUAAAGACUUCAAAUUAUUGAAUGAAGCGGAAAAAUGUGAUCCUUCUUCAAGUGAAGCGUUCAGAAUCUAGAGAUCCACAAAAAAUAAAAAUAGAAAUUGUUAGAUAAAUAAGAGCACCAGCUCGGCCAUGCCAUCAUCCCCACGCCAGGGUGGACCACCUCAGCCAAGUGGUACGAGCAGAACACUCAAUAAAAACUCAUCUAUGGUCAGAUACUUUAAACUAGUUGUUGGAAUAUCAAGAAUCUUGAAAUCACGGAAAAAACACUCUUUCAUAUACAAAUUCUCAAGGAGAGGACAGCUUGAAAGAAACUUACGGAACAAGCUAUAAUCCAAUACCUCAACAUGUUGUAAAUCAAGAGACUUUAGCCGGUUAAAUCCAGCACAAGUAGGCAGAUUUAAGACACCCUGGUGCUCUCGGUUGCCAAAAUUUAACUUCAAUGACACCAAUGACUCACAAGUAACAAGGCAACGGGGCAACUUGAUUGGUUCUGCUGAAAUAAUAUCCAAAUCAAGUACUUGCACAUUUCGUUGUGCCACGGCACUUAACCAUCUGUAAAGUGUAUAAUCAUCGGCACUAUUGAAGCACGAAAGAAGAAAUCUUUGAAUAUUAAUGGACCCGUUUUGAGACAACAAUACCCAGUUGACAAAAUCUUUGAACUUUUCAUUGGUUGUCUGAAGCGACCAUCUUUCUAGCGGAUUUGACCAAAUAUUGUGAAUAUUGAAAUUCAAAUAAGGAAUCGAAAGCCAGAAGUACCUCCAUCUUCGCGAAACAGCGCUUGCUCUGACAACAUCAAUUGUCUCCAGGAACGAGAAUAUGUGAUGGAUAAUGGGCUCUGGAAGAUUGCUGAGUCUAUCGCCACCUUCGCAAUCGCCGCCAAUAUCAGAACACACUACGAAUUUCAGAAUUUUAGGGUUUUUUCGAAGAGCAUUUUCCAUUGAAUUGAAUUAAUAAAUUUUGGGGGUUUCUGGUUAGGUUUGUAUGUUGAGGUGGAUUUGGGGGUUUCAAUCGAAAACUUGGCGAGAGAAUCUAUUACGGCGGGAAAAUAAAUGAUUUUCGCGCUUCUUAUUUCUCUGAUGAGAGUGGGCCUUACGUUCCAUUGUCGGCCCAAUAAGAACGACAAAUAAUAGCUCUUCCAUAAGAAUUCCGUAAAUAAAAUUAUAAGGCAAUUAUCCACCAGCUGUCCUUUUUUAAGUUUUUUUAAAAAUACACAUUUUUCUUUUACAGAGUUUCGAAGUUAUAUUUUGUUACAUUCAUCCACUUAUAUCUUCAUGUUGUAUAAUGUUGAUGGCAUCAUAAGGGUAAAUUUGUCAUUUAACCUAAGUUAUGUCAUUGCACUCUUGUUGUAUAAUGUUGUAUAAUGUGCUAUGUCAUUGCACUCUUGUUGGAUGCUGCAGUAAUUGAGGAGGUGAAGUGAGAGAGAAUAAAUCCUAGAAUCUCAGUCUUUUAUUAAACGAAAAUUCUAGUUUGUGGGUGCUGUAAGAUUCAGCCGCUUCUUUUGUUACUUUUGCUUAAUUUUGCUCUUUUUUGUUAGAGAUCUGUUGAUGAUGAUUCCUUUCUUAUGGGAUUGGCUUCAAGCUCGGAGUAAAUUAAGUUUCAAGAAUUGAUUUUUUUUUUCUUUUUUUUUUAGCAUUUAUUUAGGGAAAAACGAUACUUUUACAUUUAGAGGUAAAAAUGUCAUUUAACUAAUUUUCUAUUCUCUUAUGUGUAUGUUUGAAAAAAUUCAGAAAAAGUGGAUAAUUGUCUUAAAAUUAUAUGUGAUUUUGGAAAUACAUCAUCACCCAUUAAGGAGUUUAAAUCUCUCUUUAAAAAAAAAAGAGUUUUACACUUUUGGGGAUAAAAUGAAGAACAAAACAUUAUGAUCCAUAUACUAGCAAGUAUUUUUAGGCCAUGAUGUAGAUGAGAACAGAAUUAUGGAAAAAUACAUUGGUGCAGUGACAACAUUAUAGUCUAUUGAUUUCUCUGGAAAUCAACUUUCUGGUCGAAUCCCACAAAGCAUUUUAUGGUGGGUUUUUGGUGUGUAAAACUGGCCCCUUGUUUAUCAGCAGAGGAUGGAGGUAUGAAUGCUGCUGGAAAUAAGUAUAAAUUGAGUUUUUAUAAAUGUUGAGUUGUGAUAUUUGACCCCUAUUAUAUCUCACCAACCCUCAAUAAUUAUUUUUAAACUAAUAAACUACCUAUUUUAUCUUUGUAUGGAAUGACUUAAAAAUGAAAAUUCGUUUUUUAGUGUACAUGCAUGAUAAUUUCUAUUAAUUUCUAAUUUGGCUAAUCCAAUUUCAUAAACCUUAAUUUCUUUUAGCUUUUUAAAUUAUAUCUCUUCUCAAAUAUUUUAUACUCUACUUUUGUAAUCAUGGAAGAAAUUAAUUUACUGUACUCAAUAGAGAAUGAGGAAGAAGUAUCAAAUUCCCUUUUAUAAUUACAGCAACCACGGAUAAAAUCUUUGAAAAGAAAGAGAGAGAUUAUAGUGAUUUUGAGAGUUUUUUUUUCCUUUUAAAAUAAAUUUUAUAAUUUUUGUAGAGUGGAUGCUUGGAAAAAAAAUAAAAAUUAUAAUAAGGGUAAAUUCGAGAUUAGAUGAGGCAUGUUGAGAAAUGAAGAUUAAUUUAAAAUUUUUAAUAGGGUUAACUAAAAAGUGAGGGUUAGUGAGAUAUAAUAAAGGGGUCAAAUAUCAUCAUUUUUAAAAAUUUUUAAAGAAGAUACUCUCACAAUAAAUGGAAAGGCCCCAACUCAGGAACUUGAGAAUAAGGCAAUAAUGUGCUCACCACUUUUAUCAUUGUCAUUAAUGUUCCCAUCUAAAUCGUUUCCCUACAUCCUCGCCAUAUCACGAGCUGAAUUUUCUACUUGCCUAUCAGUUGAAACUUCCAUUGUUGUCUCCAAUCCAAUCUUAAACUGGUUGAUUCUGCAAAACAUUUUUCACCAAUUCUGUCUGAGGUUCAAUAGCUUCAACUCUCACACACUCUUUGAGAUUGACUUAGGGAUGGCAAUAAGUUAGAUAUGAGUUGGAUCUAUUUUGUUUUAAAUUUAGAUCCAUAAUAAAAAUUAAAAUUUCUAUCUGCUCUAAAUCCAUCAUGGAUUCAUAUUUUUUGCUCUAUAUCUGAAUUCAAAAAUAAAAAAGUAUCUAUGUCUGCUCCAAAUCCCAAAAAAAAAAUCCAAAUAUGUUCUAGAAUCGUCAUGAAUUUUAAAACUCAACAAUAAAAGAGCAAUAAUUUUUUAGAAUUAAAAUUAAAGACUAAAAUGUAUUGAUAACAACUAAAUUAUAUAAUUUGUCUAAAAAAUCUAAUAAAUAUUUUAGUUUAUAGUUUUACACUAAAACAAGCAAAUAAAAAGAUAAUCAAUUAUCCUUCAAAAGUUAAUUUUGAGACAAUUUUGUACCAUAAAAUUUUGUACAUGUGAUAAUUUAUGGGAGAAAUAACUAUAUUUCUUAAAAAUUAUUUGGCCAAUAUUAUAAAAAAAAUUGCCAAAUGUAAUUACUUGGCUUGCAAUUUGAAUAUUGCAUGUGCGUGCUUUACAUCUUUAGAGCUGACUGUUGUUGAAAAUUUUAAUAUACUCGCAAGCGCACGAAUCUAGAAAUAGAAUAGUGGUAACGAGGUCGAUCCCACAAGGAUUGUUAUAAAUUGAAAAGUCUAAUUUAAAUCUAAAAUUAAUAUUAAUUCUAACCUAGUUGAGCAAAUUGAGUUUUAAAAGAAAUUAAACUAAGAAAACAAUUAAAGUAAAAGAGAAUUCAAUAGGAUAGAAAUUACCAAGGUUUCAGAAUCCACCACUAUUCAACUAGUAAUUAUCUAAUUAUUAAUUAAUCCCCAAUUUUAGAGUGACAACUCGAAAUCAAUCUAUGUCAUCUCAUGGAUAUAACAAUUAAGCCCAAAUAAAAUUAAUCUUAUGUAGGUUCUUUUUCUGCUUAAUAGUAUGACAUCUAAGCAUCUCAUGUAAACAUAUUGAAUAACAAAGAGUCAAAGUUUCCCUAAACACUCUAUGUAAACAAUUUAAUGAAAGACAUAAAAUCAAAGAUAAUCAUGUAUAAACUUUAUAGAUCCAAGCAUAGAAUUAAUCGAAUAUUAAUCCUAACAAUCAAUAAUGCAUGACAGAAUUGAUGAAAAGAUUUUAUUAACAUCCAAUUAAUCAUGUGAAAUAAAAACCAUAAUCAUUGAAGAACAUAUAUAGGGAAUUAAUUAAAUAAAAAGAUAACUAUUUCAUUGAAUAGGAUUUCAUCCUUAACCUCAGUAUAAGAGAAUUAGUUAGACAUACUUGAAUUGGGAACAACAAAAAAAAUAAAAUUACCCAUGGAAGCCGAACUACUGCUGCCCAGCCUUGCGUCUUGCGUCUGCCGAAUUCUACUUCUUGUUUCGUUUCUGUCCAGCCUUUAAUUCAAAAGCAAAACUCUUUUUUAUAUUGCUUGGCCACGGAAUCCUAUUGUGAUUCUAAUAACUAAACCAACUCUUACAAGCUAAAGCUCUAAGCCUGCCACGUAAUUGAAAACAAUAAAAGCCAAAAGCUAUUGAUUUCCUUCCUUUAUUCUAUUUUGACUUUCCAUUCAAAGGCUUAAUUAAAAGCUUUGUUUAAUGUGCUGCCCACUUUAGCUUUAAACCUCUUCUUUGCUUGCACGAGCAUGGAUAUUCAAUUUAUUGGCUUCGAUUUCUUCUAACAGAAUUUCUUGCACAUCUCCUUAGUUACUUUCACAAAUUGAUUUGAUCUUCAAUGUUGUCCAAUUGUUAUUCUUUACGUACUUUUCAUCCAUAAUCUCCAAUUAAUUUCCUAUGCAAUAAAAUAAUUUAAUUAAUUAAAAAUAAUAAAUAAAUAUAACUAACAAUUAUUUAAUUAAUGGUAAAAUAUAUAUGUAUUAUAUGCUCAUCACUGACUAACCUUUAUUAUUCUUGUCCUAUUAUUAGUUAAAUUUACAAAACUAAUAUUUAAGUUUUAGGAUUUUUAAAUAUAUGAUAAAUAUCACUAAUAUACUAUGAAUGAAAUUUAUUAUGAUUUAUAAUUUAAAAAUUGUUAAUUUUUGAAAUAAAAUAAAAUUAAAAUAUAAGUAGAUAUAGAUUUAGAUCUAAAUAUGAAGAUAGAUCCAAAUUUACUCUAAAUCCCUCUUAAAUCUGCAUAUUGAUAUCCAAAUCUAUUUCAAACCGACUUAUAUCCGAUUCGAUUGGAUUUAAAUUAGGUGGAUCUUGAAUCAGAUUCGAUCCAUUGCCAUCUCUAAAUUGACUAGACAAAUUUUCAGCAUAAACAACCUGUUCACCCCGUAAACGAUCAUGCUUCAUCCUAGACACGAGUACUUCUGCAACGGUCAGAUUAUCUUCAUGACCAAAAUCACUGGCAACCUCCAAAUUGGAUUUGGGAGGAAAACGUGGGGGAGUGGGGGAAUCAUUAGCUUCAUUAUUCAAUUCUAAGCUUGGUGACAACGGUGAGGCGAUAUUAGUGUUUAAUUCACGAUCUUCACUCUUACAACCGAUUAAAUCCGUCAGAGACACGAGCUUUUCUAUAAACGCAGUCAAAUCUUCAUAAAGAAUGGCCGGUGCAAGUGCAAUUUGAAUGCCUCUAGCUCAACGCGCAGCUAAAGCAAUAACAGAUUUUCAAACUUGACGAUCAUAAUACAAGAGAGGCUGCGUGUUCGAUUUGACUUCUCGCUAUUCCAGAAUUUCUUCAACCACUUAGCAUGCCUGCUCCUUAGCCCCUCCGGUAGGUUCUGUUAUUGCUUGAUUCGAUUUCGUUUCUACUUGCUUCAACUCAUCAGUUCAAGAGGGCCCAAAACAGAGUAUACCCUGCAAAUCAUCAAAUCUUCUACUAAAUUUAUGGUUGCUUCACCACAUGGGAAAAUGAAACUUUUCGUUUUGAAAUUGUAUCGCGAAGCUUACCGUUGGCCUUUCAUUUACGAAAUUUUAUAACUUUCAUUUACGGUAGUCUUUAUGAAAGAGCUAUCUAUUAUUGUCGUCUUAUACGGUUAUACUGUCUUCUUCUUAUUGGGCGGGCCGACUAUGUAUCGCUGAGGCCCACUCUCAUCAGAUAAAAAAGAAGCGGGAAAAGAAAAUCAUUCAGUUUGCGGCCGUACAAAUUUCUCGGUCGGAGCUCAAAUCUCUGGGUUUUUUAUUUAAAUAUACCCCAUUUGUCCUUAAAUGUCAAAUUUAUACCCCAUUACAUACAUAUACCUCAUAAAAGUGUAAAAAGUCAAAAAUAACCUAAAAAAACUAUCUAUUUACGUUUACUUCCUCUCUCAUGACUUCUACAUAAUAACACAACCAAAGUCGAGUAUACUCGACUUUUUAUCUGACUUAAUUAAAAGGAAAAUUUUCAUUUCAAUUUAAGUCGAGUAUUCUCAACCAAUUACCGAACUUCAAUGAAAAGUCAAGAAUUUUGCUGAAUGAAUAUUGGGUAAGGUUAAAUUAAAGUCGGGUAUUCUCGACUCUUUACUCGACUUACUUGAAAAAAUUGAGAAUUUUUCAGAUAAUUUUUUAUUUCAAUUGAAGUCGAGUAUUCUCGACUAUUUACCCGACUGACAUGAAAAAGUCGAGAAUUUAUGCUGAAUUACUAAUUGUGUAUGGUUUGGUUGAAGUCGAGUAUUCUCGACUAUUUACCCGACUUCGAGGAGUUGGGUUUAGUUUUAUGAGGAUUUAGUUGUGGUUAUUUUUGUACUUUUUUUAGUUUUUUAGAGUAUAUAUGUGUAAAAUUUAAGAGUGUUAUAAUUUUAGGUAUAUAUUGGGUAUUUUGAAGGGAAUGGGGUACAUCCCACACAAUUCUCCCCAAAUCUCUUUUACUUGAGCGGAUAAGUUUUCAAUUCAACCCCUAAAUAAUCAUCCGCGACAUAGAAGCCUAACCAGAACACCUCCCAAAUUUUAAUUCAAAUCAAUGGAAAAUGCUCUUCAAAGAAACCCUAAAAUUUCAAAAUUGACAUGCGGCGUAUGUUCUAAUGUUGGCGGCGAAGAUGGUGAUAGACUCAGCAAUCUUCCAGAGCCCAUUAUCCAUCAUAUCUUCUCAUUCCUCGAGACAAUUGAUGUUGUUAGAGCGAGCGCUGUUUCGCAAAAAUGGAGGUACUUGUGGCUUUCGAUUCCUUACUUGAACUUCAAUAUUCACAAUAUUUGGUCAAAUCCGCUAGAAAGAUGGUGACUUCAAACAACCAAUGAAAAGUUCAAAGAUUUUGUCAACUGGGUAUUGUUGUUUCAAAAUGGUUCCGUUAGUACUCAUAGAUUUCGUCUUUCUUGCUUGAAUCGCGUCGAUGAUUAUACACUUUACAGAUGGAUUGCUGUUGUGGCACGACGAAACGUGCAAGUUCUUGAUCUUGAUAUAAUUUCAGACGAGCCCAUUAAGUUGCCCCGUUCCCUUGUAACUUGUGAGUCAUUGGUGUCAUUGAAGUUAGAUUUUGGCAACCGAGAGCACCAGGGUGUCUUAAAUCUACCUACCUGUGCUGGCUUUAGCCGGCUAAAGUCUCUUGAUUUACAACAUGUUGAGGUAUUGGAUUAUAACUUGUUCCGUGAGUUUCUUUCAAGUUGUCCCCUCCUUGAGAACUUGUAUAUGAAAGAGUGUUUUUUCCACAAUUUCGAGAGUCUUGAUAUUUCAACAACCAGUUUAAAGUAUCUGACCGUAGAUAAGUUUUUAUUAAGUGAACCAAAAGGUUUGCGCAGCUGUAAGGUAAUUUGUGAGUCAUUGGAGGCACUGAAGUUACAUUUUGGUCGCGAGUUGACAAGUGUGUUUUAAAGUUACCACCUACUUCUGUUGGUUUUAGUCGGCUCAAAUCUCUUGAUUUGAAACAUGUUGAGUUCUUGGACCAUAAUUUCUUUCUUAAACUUAUUUCAAGUUCUCCCUUCCUUGAGAAUUUGAUUAUGGAUUCAUGUCGUUUUCCUGAUUUGAAGAUUCUUGCAUUUCUUCCAAUAGUUUGAAGUCUUUGACACUUGAGCGCAUUGAGUUUGGUGGUGAUGAAUUGGACAACUACAAGCUUAAGAUUGCUUGCUCAAAUCUUGAGUCUUUCAAUAUUUUUGCUCCACUCUUACCUGACUUCACCUUGGAGGGCUGAAACUCUUUACAAAAUGCUUUCAUUUUCUUGGAAACUAUCGGGGAGUACAUGGAGGCUAAAGAAAUUUGUCAUCGCAUGUCUAAAAUCCUCAAUGGACUUCGUGAUGUUAAAGUUCUGAAAUUGUCAUGUACUCUUUACCAGGUAUAUUUUUAUAUUUUCAUUGUGCUAAAGAAUGACUUUAUUAGAACUUGUUUACAGCUUUCUUUUUUCUUUUUUCAUUAAAUGACUCAUUCUCUGUUGUGGUGAACUUCAAUUGAUCUGAAUAUACUUUUCUAAGCCAUGAUGACAUUGAAUGAUGCCACAUUAGUCUAAAUAAUCAAUUUGUUCUUGACGUCUAGAAAGGGACCAACUGAUUGACUUGAGUUUAUAGAUAUCAUCAAUAGUUAGAUUUUGUGUUUAGUUAAUUACACUUCCAUUGACUUCUGAUUACUCUUUUCAUUUCUUUUGUGGUUCCUCCAGUUUCUGAAUGCUAUACUUGAACAGCGAUCUUAUUUUUCUACUUCAUUCAAUAAUUUGAAGUCUUUAAUACUUUGCGUGACAACAGCCGAAUGGACUGUGCCAUUAAUAAUUAGACUGCUCAACCGCUCUCCAAAUCUUGAAGUUCUUACAAUAUAUUUUGAUUCGGUAAUCUCAACGCCUAAAUUUAUUUGAUUUGUUAGCACACAUUCUUCUACCCAUUUAUUUUAUCAUAUCUCUCACCUAUGUACUAAAAGUUCAAUCUUGUUAAAGUGUCACUAGGCUUGCAGCUUGCUUUAAUUUAAGACAAUACUUUCAGAGUAGGUAUGAUAUGUUAUCUUAAUUUAUUGCUUAGAGCUUAAUAGUAGAAGUUAAUCUUGAUGGUCGCUUUUGUUGUUACCAAAGCAAGAAAUAGCAGAUGUGAGUUUUUCGUUUUGCAAGUUAAAAAUAUUUACCCUUUUCUCUUAGUCUUAUAUUCUUACCCUAUUAUUUGCUAUUAUUCUUCUUAAUAUUUAUUUCAUUGCAUUACUUACGUACAGUCUUGUCUGUUUUCUCUUGACAGGACGAAUACUAUGAUGUUUGGGAAAUACCUGACAAAGUCAUUUUGUGUUUGACAUGUCAUCUCAAGACAGUUGAGUUAAUUGAUUUUAGCGGUAAUGAGAAUGAACUUGAGCUGGUGAGAUUUCUUCUAAAGAAUGGACAUGUAUUGCAGAAAUUGAGGGUUAGUUGGUUGAAAGGUGUGGAGAAUCGUAGGGAGAUCAUCUCAGCGAUAAGGAAGUUUACUAUAUCAUCUUCAAGUGUUGCUCUGAAAUUCCUUGAGCCUAAGCCAUUUCUUGACUUUUUUAACACAUUUUGAUGAUUAGGCGUAGGAGGGAAAGUAUUAAAUAUGCGAAAGAAACUUUGUAUAUUAUAUAUAUUUGCUUGAAGCAGACGUCCCUUUGAAUUUGUGGUAAGUGGAAACAGUGACAAUUACAUUGUCAGUCAUAUGUUUUUUGAAAUACCACUAAUUAUGCAGCUUUUAAUUUUUUUCUGAAAGGAUUUAUGAACUGUAAUUUUCAUAUCCAAUUCAUAUUCUCUGAUUAUGUGAUUAUAAUUAUCUAGUAUGUAUUAUACUUUGUUCAUGAUACAUAAACAUAAAUGACAUGUAUAACAUAUGUCGUCCACGCAUGCUAAAAUGUGGUUUCAACAUUUUGCAAGGCCUGAAAAGGUUUUGCAGUGGUAGAAAAUGCUGGAUCGGCGGAUCCCCAGUCAGUACAAAAUCUGAAAGAAAAUGACUUUUGGGAAACAAACAGGUCUGACUUAAAGAUCCAUGAAGGGAGAAGGCCUAGGCAAUUGGUCCAUUUAUGAUUAUGAGUUAGGGGUGCGUUUGGCACACUGUAUUGUAUUAUGCUGUAUUGCAUUAACACAGUAUUAUAAUAAUGUUGUACAAUGUUUGGUGUUACAUUGUACUGUAUUAGUUUUUAGUUAUACUAUGUUUGGUAUGACAUUGUAUUGUAUUAAUAUUUUUUGUAAGAAAAUUGAAUUAUAUAUUUAGAAAAUGACAUUUAUUAGUAUUUAGAAAAAUAUUAAAUAUAGAAUAGAUUUAAAUUUUUUAGUAGAAGUUACAAAAAUCAUAAUUCUUAAUAAAAAUCGAAGAUUAUGACCUUAAAAUUUCGGCAACAUAACAUCUAUUUGUCUUUUUGCAUUUUCCAAAUAUAUAACCUAUAAAAUAAAGAUUGAAACAAAUAAUUCAAUCAAUUAAUCUUUAAAUAAUAUAACAACAUAAAUAAAUAAUUAAAACAUGCAAAAUUUGUCCAAAGUCAUUUGACAAUGAUAAAAGAAAGGUUUUUACAUACUCCAAAAUAGUCACAAAAUUUUAAAAUGAUACAAUAGUUGUAACAAAAUGCAUGAUGUUAAGUAAUCCGAGUACACACAUCCAUAUGCUAAAAUACUAUCGCAUAAUAUCAUUGUUAAGUUAGACAUGCAAACUCUCCAUUAUCAAACUCCACCUCUCCUUUCAUGUUCACGCAAAAGCAUCCUAACAUAUGCUAACUUACGGUUACGAUCAUUUCGUAAUGCCUUGAAAGCCCUUAUAUUUGAAGGUUUCUCUACCAUUAAAUUUAAGGCCAUAAGCUCAUCAUCCAUAGAGAGUCCAUCGAAGCAAGCUGUUCAGCUAGGGAUGGCAAAAAUCCCCACGGGGACGGGUACCCUCGGGGAUUUUCCCCAUUCGGGGAGGGUAUGGGGAUAAUUUCAUACCCAAUUUUUUAUUCGGGGAGGGGACGGGGAAAUUUUGUUACCCAAUUUCUUAUUCGGGGAGGGGACGGGGAUGAGGUGGAAUCCCCAUCCCCUACCCAUUUCCCCAUUUUAAUUUUUAAUUUUAUUUUAAUUUUUUAAAAUUACUAGUAAAUAAAUAAUAAUAUUUAAAUUAUAAAAUUAUAAAUAUUGAUAAAAAUAAAAAAUAUUAAAAUAUUUAUAUUAUUAAACUUUUAGGCCUAAUUAACUAAUUAAAGUCCUAAAUUUUUAUUUAGGACAUUAAAAAGACCGAGUAGAUUCUAUUAGCCCAAAAGUUUUUUAUUUUUAAUAUUCUUUAAAUAUUUUAAACUUAAAUCUAUUUUUUAUUUAUUUUUAGAUGUUAUAAUUGCCCACAGCGAAUCACAAUUUUAAUAUCUAAUCUAAUCUAAUCUAAUAUUUACUCUUGAUUUGCUCCGAUUUAACUAUUGUGUUGUAAAGGGAAUAGUCCACAUUUAUAAAGUGCCCACGCCACCAUUGAAAAAGUUAAUUUUGAAUCUAAAUUCGAUUUUAUUUGUAACAAUUUUGUAUUAGACUAUUAAUUUGUUCAUGAUAGUUUGUAAAAGAAGUUUGUAUCCCUUACAUGCUGCGUUACUUAUUAAUUUAAUGUAUGCGACUUUUGUAAUGGAUAUUAAUGUAAGAUAUAUUUCGAACUUUACUUGUAUUUGAAUUUUUUAUUUUAAUAUGAUUAACUCAAAAUCGAAAAAAAAAUGUAUUAGUUAUUCGGGGAUCGGGGACUCUCGGGGAUCCCCUGUUAUUAUUCGGGGAGGGGAUGGAGAUUCGCUCAAGUAAUUCUGACGGGGACGGGGAGGGGACGGGGACAUACGCAAAAUAUCGGGGAUGGGUACGGGGAGAUUGGUCCCCUCCCCUCCCCUCCCCUCCCCAUUGCCAUCCCUAUGUUCAGCAAUGUAAUCGUGAUCUUCACUACUUCCAUACAUAUUAUGAGACAUGUCGGUGUUGGCUUGGUGAAAUGCUGAAACCAAUUUCUCAAUACCAUCAACAACAUAUUCAUCUGAUUUAGACCUCUUUUUGUGUGAUGAUUGUGGACGUGAUCGAGUAGUGUCUUGAGAAUUUGCAGAAGGGGAAGCAAACAUGGGAGAACCUUCAUCAUCAAUCUCAUUAUCAUCAUGGAUUUCUUCUUGAAGUGCUGCAUUAGCCAUAUCAAUUGGAGUCUCUGCCGACCUUCCAGUUGCAUGGUCUUUUCCAAAUAUAUUUGCUAGCCUCUCAUAAUAUGGAAAUGGCUUGUUCCUCCAAUUGAUUGCUUCUUUAUGGGACUACGAAAUAAAAAUAAGAUAGUUAAAUAAACUUUAUUAUUUUUAUAACAAUACACCAUGCAACCAUGCAAAUAUAACUAAUGACAUAAAAAAAAUUAUUUUCCUUAUUGUAAAUUCAAAAUACUAACCUCUACGUAUGAUUUCCAUACUUCGUCACUAUCAACCUCCACACAUUUUCUCACAUCAUUCCAUCCAAAACCGCUAGUGUUUAACAUAUCAAACAACACCCCAUAAUUUUUCUUCCAUAUUCUUAUCUUAGAGUCAAUAUGUGGAUAAGCCUUCAAACCACAACCUGGUUGCAAUUUUUCUAAUUCAUUUUCAAUAUAUUUGUAACUUCCAGAUUUGAAGGUACCAUUAUCAGCUCGACUACCGUUUGCAACUAGUGCAUCUAAAAUGUUCAACAUUUUUUCUUCUUCCUCUUUUGUCCAUGCUCGUCUUGACCCCGUUUUAUUUCCAGUAAUAUGACUUGAACCUCCACUCUCCAUGCCUACAAAAUGAGCAAUUGAAACAUAACACCAAGUUAAAUUCACAUAAGUAACACUUGAUAAAUUCCUGUCGAUUUCGAUAUUUUAGCAAAAUUACAACCUUAUAUAUCUUCUUAAAGACAUAGCUAUAUAAACAAAAGUACAACUUGAGAUGCUUUCCUAAGAAUAUCGAUAUACUAACAAAAGUACAAUUUUAGAUGCUUUCCUAAAACCAUUGAUAUACUAACAAAAGUAUAGCCUUAGAUGCUUUCCUAAGAACAUCAAUAUACUAACAAAAGUACAGCCUUGUAUACCUCCUACGGACAUCGAUAUACUAGCAAAAGUACAGCCUUAGAUACUUUCCUAAUAACAUCUAUAUAUUAACAAAAGUAUAUCUUUGAAUACUUUCCUAAUAUAUAUAUUAACAAAAGUACAACAACCUAAUUGCCCAACCAAUUAUUAUACAUUGCAGUAGCUAAAUCAUUCCUCCAACUCGUCCAUUGGUCUGAAGCUUCAAGGCUACUUAUGUUAUCACUAUCGUCUACUUCAUUGUUAGAUAUGUCAAGUAACUCAUGCUCUAUUGGAUCCACAAGCAUUUCUCUCCUAAUCAGAUUAUGUAAUAAACAACAUGCAGUAAUAAUGCGACAUUGGGUUUUAAUUGGAUAGAAUGAAGGACUUCGAAGAAUGGCCCAUCGCAUUUUGAUCAAUCCGAAACACCGCUCAAUUACAUUUCUUGCUGAGGAAUGUUUCAUGUUAAAGAACUCCUCUUUAUUCUGAGGAGCACACCCAUCUCUCCAUUCAGAUAAGUGAUAUCUUGUUCCCCUAUACGGUGCAAGGAAUCCUUCAGCAUUUGUGUAUCCGGCAUCCACAAGAUAGUAAUAACCUAUUUAUUUCACAUAAGCAUUAGUACAAUUUUUAGUUUUAAUAUGUAAUUUAAUUUAAUAUCAUUUUUGGAAUAAGUAAUACCUGUAGGAACUUUUAAACCGGUUGGCUUACUUAAUGCAUCGCGAAGUACUCUUGAGUCAGAUGCAGAGCCUUCCCAUCCAAGCAUCACAAAGAUGAAUUUCAUAUCUCGUGAACAUACUCCUAAAACAUUAGUAGCAAUCUCACCCUUUCUUGUUCGAUAUCUUGGCUUAUCAUUUUCUCCGACGCGGACUUUAAUAUAAGUUCCAUCCAAUGCCCCUAAGCAAUUCUACACAUAUAAAACAAAUGAAAAAUUUAUAAGCAUUGAACUAUCACUAGCUAUAAUCAAAUAAAAGUAAUUGAUAAUAUACCUUAAACCACUUCCAUCUCUCAUCAGUGCAAUUCUCUGGUACAGGUUCUGGUGCCCUUAGUAAAACAUCAUGUAGUCGUAACACUCCAUUUAAUACUGAGUUGAAGUAUCUACUAACUGUUUCGCCAGAUCUGAAAAAUCUACUACCAAUUGUGCGAUUCUUGACAUGAUGAGACAAAGUGUGAAGAAACAUGCAAACUUGCUCUUCAAUCGUCACUGAACCAUUAGCCCUUAAUCCUCCAUUCACUCGAAGGAGCUCACAUAGUAGGCCAAAUGUCCUUCUAUCCAUUCUUAGUUGAUUCACACAUUGUAUGUCACUAUUGCCUAUAAUGCUAUCUAAGUAUUGUAAUCGAGUGGCAUGAUUUUGGAAUGUACGACUACGAAUUAAUUUUCUUUGAUUAUGCCUUCGGAUCAACAUCAUUAACAAAAAAAAUGUCACAAUGAACAUGAACCUCAAUUUCAUUUGCCACAUGACGAAAAAAAAUUUUCCUCUCAUGUCCAUAUCUAAAACAACAAAUAAAAAUGAGUCAAAAAUCAGCUAGCAAGCCGUUGAUAAAAUGUCCAUAAACUUAAAUGCUAGCACACUUUUGUUUUUGCUAUUUUCACAAAGAAGAAAAUAGAAGCAUGCAUAUAUAUAUAUAUAUAUAUAUAUAUAUGGAGAGAGAGGGGGGGGGGGUUAUUAUUACUAUUAUUAUCAUUACACAUACACAAAUAUACUAUGGACCCUAGUCCUAAUUAAUGAUUUAAACAAAUCACGUGGAAAAAAAAAAUAUAUCCAUGUUUUCUUCCAUCUUUGUUCAUGUCCAUUGAAAUUAUAACAUGCAGAUAUAAUAUAAAGAAAACAUUUUCUGGGCACAAAAUAAGAGAAUGCAAUUAUGAAACCAAGAUUAGAAAAAUAAGCAUUGUUUCACAGGAAAAUAGUUAUACAGGUGCCAAAGCAAUGCAAGUUGACCACAAUAAUCAUAAUUGAAAAUCUAGUAUAUUCUUAAUUAAAACACAUUUAAAUCAAACAAUAGUUAAUUGCCUAAAAGAGUGUAACAGACAAGUUUACCUGAAAUGAGAAAUUUGAAGAUCCACUUGUAAAGAGAAGGUCUUCCAGAGCUCUUUCUGGAUCAACACUUUUAUCUUAUAUAAGCCCACAAUCAAUGAUUCUAGUGUCAGGACAAAUUAUGGAAACUAUCAGCUACCUAAUUUAUGAAAUUCAUUUAAAUAAAAAUUAUGUCAUGAACAAGAUGAGCAAGAAAAUUUUUCCCUGUGAUUGUCUUGUCUUUUCAUAUAAAAGUUAUGUCAAUAAUGAGACAAAUGGGAGGAAAAAGGGAAAUGGUGGGAUGGGAAAAAGGAAAGAAUAAGACAUUUCUAUUAAAGGAUCCAGAUACUUCAAUCAUUAAGUUAAUUCAAACAAAAAACCCAAAUCCAAAAUCAAACCUCAGGCGAUGAAGGUCGGCACAGUGGUGGUGUUGCGCAGUGGGUAGCAGUGGAGAUGGGAUUGCACAGAGUGUGGGUGUCGCACGGGGAGGUGAUGGCGAAGUCAGAUGGCGUGGUGGUGGAGCGUUGUGGAGGUGGCUUCUGUUAAGCACAGGAAGAACCACAGAGAGAGUGAUUUGAGAACGACAGUAAUGAGAAUAGAAAGGAAAUUUUAUUUUUGUCUCAAAAUAGCAUCAAACCCGUGUAAACCCGACCCCCCCCACGGGUUUAUUUUAUGCGGGUUUGACCGCAUUAACAUUUUACUGUAACCACAUUACAAUCCUAUGUGAUGUAUUUACCAAACAUUGUAUAAUAAUACAUUAAUACUAUGAGGGGUCCUAAUACCUCAUAAUGAGGGGUACCAAACAUAGCCUAGGGGUUCUUUAAUUUGGCGUAGAAAUUUUCUUUUGACAAUUCAACUGGUUUCGACUUUCGAGAAAGUCUUGUUUGUGUUUGUGUUGCAUAACUAUUGCUUGGAGGCAUUUAGGUGUUAAGUAAUCCCAGCAAGAUUAGCAGAGAGGUAAAGGAGUUUCCUUGAUUGUCGCACUGGAAUUUAUUAAGCCUACGUAUCAAUUGUUUGAUUAUUUUGAAUUGUGAAUUAGAAACACAAAAGAGAAUCUAUGAAGAAAACGCAUUGGAAUGAACAUUGUUGGAUUCGUGCCAUGUACAUAUUUACUUUUUAGUACAUGAGAUUUGAUCAGGAAAAUUUCACCAAUAUGACCAUAUAAAAAUUCAAAGAGGAGAUAUCAUUCAACUUCAUCUUUGUUUCCGAAUGCAUUCAAAAGCUUAUUGCGUUUAUAUGCAGAUCAGAUCAAAACAAGCUAACUUCUUGUGCUAUCCGGUUUCGUUGCUGCCUAUGGAUGUAGAAAACAGAGUAAAUAUGGUGGAUUUAGAAGAAAAGAUUACUAGCCCGUCAUAGUCUACUACUAAUUAAGGUUUUGAUUGAUAUUGAGACUAGACAGUUGCAGUUUAAAUACUAUAACUCCAACGUGUUUAGUUAAACACUAGCUGUUAUAACUUGAAAACUAAGUUUUGUUCUUAUACUUGUAUUAUAAAAAACCUAUAAUAUCUUUACUUUUUUUGGUCAAAAUUAUUAUUUAGAAGUUGUAUUUACUAUAGAUUAUUAACUUUUAUUUCAUAAUUACAUUUUUUUGUAGUUAUAGCAUUUCAACAUCAAAUAGGACAUCCAUGCUAGUAUAGGAUGCAUCAAAGUUUUGUAGUUGGGGUGCUUAAAAGAAUUUUUCUGGACAAAUUGUUAUCGGCUAAAUUCUAUACACUCGAAAACGUCAAAUGCUUCGAUUCAUUUAUCCCAUGAUGUAAGAUGAAUUGAUUGUUUAAACCAAAUGCUCUCGGAUUCAUCUUACCAAUCAACUUUGACUGAUUAAUUUUCUUUCAAAAAUUCAGAUUCCUGAAUUUCAUUAGAACUUAACGCUGUUAUAUCUUUGUGGCUUAGUUUGAUUAUAGUGGUUGGAUUUUUUAAAAUCUUGCAAUCACUCCCCAUGAUCGCUGUUACUGCACAAAAUUUAGCUGCUAUCUCCAUGUGAAUAACGAGAUUCCGAAUCAUCAAGCUAAUUGUGUGCUACGGAAUUUGGUUAUGUCAGAAUAAUUGUAUUAUAUUGAUGGUAAUAGCAUGGGAAAAUUUUAUCCCAACACAACUUACCAAGCUAAUUGUAUUCGCACGUAAAACAAUGAGAGUUAAAUACUAAAAAUGUAUAAUCGCAGCCUCUGUUUCUUCCUGCGCAAGUGCACUGCAAUUUGGCUAUUUUUUUAUAACCGAAAAGUGCUUUUUUUUUUUUAAAUUCAAAAAUUUAGAGUACACCACGAAUUAAAUUAAUUUGCUAUCACUUGGAUCUCAAAAUUUUAGGAUGCUUCAAAUUUUUGUUUGAAACAAAUUGCAUCAUUCCAACGAGAGAAUUGAAAAAUAUUAAAUUAUAAGGAGAUUAUUUUUUAUUUUUAUUAUUUUAUGAAUUGAAUUCUAAAGAGAUUUAAUUCAAAAGAGAAGAAGAUAUUUAAUAAAAUUCAGUAUCAAACACUGUAUUCCCAAAUUAAAAUUACUAGAACAACAAACAAAAGUUGGAAAGGCUCAACUUUGGAUGAGGGAUGAACUUAUUAAAAAUUUUGCUACGCUUGUUCACUCUCUACCGAAGAAGAAAAUAAGCAUACUUCGAUUGUGCUUCGCGGUGGGUUCAAAGAGGGAGUAAAAAUAAAAUAAUUUUACAUAAUUAUUGUUUGUCUAUAAUAGUAAUUUAGAUUAUGAGUAAUUAUGUAAUAAAAUUAUUAAUAAAAAAGUGGGUUUGAAAAGUGAUUUGGUAGGUUCAAAUACCAAAAAAAAAAAAACAGCGUGAUAAAUUUCGUUUCUUGUCAUUACUAGAAUGCCCUUGUGGAUAACGAAUAUUAACAAAAGGUCUUUCUGAAACUAUUUGUCAUUAUAAAAUCGUUUAAAGCACCGGACAACUCACAGCUCAAUCUCGAUGAUCAAGAUUCAAGCCAAGGGCAUCAAGUUUAUGCUAUUAACGGUUAUCUGUGAAAAUGAUUAACACAUAAUGAUUCAAGCCAAGGGCAUCUAAUUCUCUUUUUCUCGGGGAAGCCGAAGGUUUGACAUUCCCUCUUCUUGAAAGCCUAAACACACAGAACGCUUAAAAGUUAAAACCCACAAACUCAUCACACAAACUCGUCUGUUGUUGAGACAAUAUUUUAUUUGUGAGGUUUCAGCAAUGGAGGAAUUAGAAGAAGACAAUGGAUUUGAAGUGAGAGAGGAGCUCAUGAUUUCACCCAAUGGUGGUCCAAAGCCUACAAAGAGACUUGGCCAUUUUCUCAAACCUUGCAUCAACUUCAUUAAAGGCCAAGUUUUUGAGCUUCCUACUCACUGUCUUUCCUCCUUGGCCCCCAUUUUUGAACCCAAAAGUUGGCCUUUAAAUGUAAACUUUCACGGAUGGAGGCCGCCGCAAAAGAAAUGGAAAGCUUGGGUUGGAAGGAUGGCUGGUCUGUGUGAAUCUACAUGGAAGAAAGCUGGUAUACAUGAAGCAAUCUUGAAUUCGACCAAUGAAAUUCGGAUAAACUAUGAUUUGGUUCUUGGUCUUGCAAAGAAAUGGUGUCCGGAGACCAAAAGUUUCAUUUUUUCAUUGGGUGAAGCUACCAUUACAUUAUAGGACAUGAUGAUUGCAGGGUACUCUGAUUUGGGUUCCCCUGUUUUUAGCCCUCUUGAAACAGAUGAGCUGAUGGAAACACAAGAGAAAUUGAAUCAAGCCGUAAAGGAACUCAAUAGGAGUACAGCUAAGAAGCCGUAACAUGGUAAGUGGAUGGCUAAAUUCAUGGAUAGUGGGAGCGAAAUUGAACAUGAAGCCUUUCUUUCCCUGUGGCUGUCGAGGUUUGUUUUUCCAAACUCCAAUUCUGUAAUUAGCAGAUCUGUUUUUCCAAUUGCUGUAAAAUUAGCUAGAGGGACUAGAAUUGCACAUGUGCCAGCUGUUCUUGCUGGCAUUUAUAUAGAUUUGAGUUUUUUAAAAGAAAAGAUUGUUGCUUUAAGUUUGGUAGACAGUUGGGAAGAUGAAAAUAGGAAGUUAGAGAUUACUAUAUGGUCACCGUUUCAGUUAGUUCAAAUAUGGGCUAGGGAGAGGUUUAAAGAUUUGAGACCUGAGCCUAGUUUGAUCAUGAGAGGUGAGCCAAGAUUUGCUCAGUGGCACAAAUUAAUGAUGGGAGAUGAGAAUGUGAGGAUGGUUCUAGAUUCAUCCUGGGAGUGUUUUGAUUGGCGUACCUAUGUGAAAACUAAAUGACUGGAAGGUGCCUAUGUUUUAUGGAGAGAAGGAAAUGAGGGUACUUGUUGACGGUGACCUGCCUGAAGAAUUACAAUCAUGGGGUCCAUGCUUGAGGGUUUCGGAGCUACUUGGGCUGGACCAUGUAGAGCAGUACCUUCCGCACAGAAUCACAAGGCAAUUUGGGAUGGACCAAUACCUUCCAGCUUGUGUUGCUCCAGCAAAUGAGAGCCCCAAAUCUGCAUGGAGUUCUUUCUGUAAGCCUGUCACUUACGCCAAAUUGUACAUACCUUCCAGGCAUUACGAGGCAGGUCGUACUACCAGAUACUUGAAGUGGUGGAAGAAAUCACUGUCACGUCUGCAAAGCACAAGUGAUGGUGCUUUGCCACAAGAAAGAAAUCUCUUGAGGUCUAAGAGAACACCAAAGGGAUCAAAAGGAAAGAGAGAAAAUAGUUUCCAUGGUUUAAAAAAGAACCCUAAGAAAGCAAAGAGAAUGAAGGAAAGGGAUGCUGCUGCCUCUACUUGUUCUCAUUUUGCGUUGAAGAGCUUGGAAAGAUCACCAAAGACAUCAAAAAGGAAGAACAUAGACGAUGAUUUCUCUCCUGCUCUUGUUUGUCCUCCAAAGAAACAUCAAAAGCUAGUUGAGCUUUCAAAACAAAAGAAAACUGAAUCUGCCUCUGUUGAAUUACCUUCAAAUAGGCCAUAGCUGGGUCUAGAAGUGAAGAAAGAUGCUAAUGACUCUCCUGUUCCUCCUUGUUUUCCUCCCAAAUCUAAUCAUGUGGUUACAACUGAUUCCACUGAAGAAGAUUGUCUGACCAUAGC